GCUUCUCUAAAAGUAACCCUCACCAAAUUAGCUUAAUUCUUUUCGUUGUACUCAUUGCUUCUCUUCCUCUUUUCGUCAACGACAAUGGGUAACCUAAUCUCAACCUUCUUACCAGCAGACUUAUUUGAUCGUUUUUCAAACUGCGUUGGUGAACAAGCAAAAUAUGUAUGGGGUCUCGAAAAAAAUCUUCGGAUCUUGGAGACUGAAUUGCACAAAUUGACUCGAGCAAGGGCCGAUCUGAAGACCAGGGUUGAGGUCGAACAACAACGACCUCGAACCAGACGAACGAACCAGGUCGCAGGGUGGCUUGAAGAUGUGCAAAAUCUUGAAACUGAAUUUGCCGAGCUGGAACGAGUCAGAGCUCAAGAAAUGGAUAGAUUGUGCCUUGGAGGCCUCUGUUCCAAAAACUUCGUUUCAAGCUACAAUUACGGGACUAAGGUGGUCGAGUUGACGGAUCGAGUCAUCAAUUUAAAGAAAGACGGAGAAAAAAUUGAAGUCGUUGUUGAGAAGGCGCCGGAUGGUGCAGCAAUUGAAUUACCUCUUGAUCACACAGUUGUUGGUCAAGAACUAUUACUUGGUCAAGUUUGGAGAUGUAUCACUGAUCAGGAAAAGAACAGGGGAAUUAUCGGCUUGUAUGGUAUAGGGGGAGUCGGCAAAACUACCCUUUUAAAACAAGUCAACAACAACUUCUGCCAUCAACAGCAUAAUUUUGAUGUUGUUAUCUGGGCGGCUGUGUCAACACUUCAAGAUGACAUUGGAAAAAGGAUUGGCUUUUCAGAAGACAGAAACUGGCAGGAAAAAAGUCUUCAAGACAAGGCUAUGGACAUCGCUAGCAUUCUAAGCGGAAAGAAGUUUGUGUUGUUAUUAGAUGAUAUAUGGGAGCCCAUUGAUUUAACACAGUUGGGUGUCCCUCUUCAAAAUCUAAAUGAUGGGUCCAAAAUAGUCUUGACAACUCAUUCAGCUGGUUUUUGCGAUCAAAUGGACGCUAAAAAGUUGGAAGUGUCUAGUUUGGCACAUGAUGAAGCCUGGAAAUUAUUUCAGGAGAUGAUCGAAAGAUCCACUCUUGACAGUCAUACCAGUAUUCCAGGGCUAGCCGAAACCCUGGCAAGAGAGUGUGGUGGGUUGCCGCUGGCGCUUAAAACAGUGGGUCGAGCCAUGAAAAGCCAAAGGAAAGUUGGAGAUUGGGAACGUGCAAUUAAGAAAAUGAGAACAUCAGCUUCUAAAUUCUCAGGUAUGAAAGAAGAGGUGUUUUCGCGUUUAAAGUUCAGCUAUGAUAGUUUGUCUACGGACGAACUUCGUUCCUGUCUCCUGUAUUGUUGUUUAUAUCGUGAAGACUACGAAAUUCCUAAAAGGGAAUUGAUUGAUUACUGGAUUAGUGAAGGAUUUGUGUGUGAUUUUGAUGAUGGAUGCGAUUUUAUUGAUGACCUUCUUCAAGCAUGCUUAUUGGAGGAAGAAGGCGAUGAUCAUGUAAAGAUGCACGAUAUGAUUCGUGAGAUGUCAUUAUGGAUAGCGUGCACGGUAGACAAGGAGGAGCAGAACUUUCUGGUUCGCGCUGGAGUUAAAUUGACCGAAGCACCAAAGGUUGAAGAAUGGGAAGGUGCCAAACGGAUAUCUCUGAUGAAAACUGGAAUUCAAAGCCCAUCGGAAAUUCCCACGUGUCCUCGUCUCGUCACUUUUCUUCUGGAUGGAAAUUGGAUUGAGGAGAUUACUGAUGGCUUCUUUCGAUCGAUGUCUUCUCUUAGAGUAUUAAGUCUACGAAGAAAUCUUGCCCUAAGUAAACUACCUUCAGGGAUUUCAAAUUUGGUUUCAUUGCAUCAUCUUGAUCUAUCAUGGACUCGUAUACGCGGGUUGCCGCAGGAGCUGAAGGCGUUGGAGAAGCUGAGAUAUUUGAGCUUGGAGGGUACACGGCACUUGUCUAUAAUUCCACAUCAAUUGAUAUCUGGCUUUUCAAAGUUGGAGGUACUCAGGUUGCUUUGGUGCGGUCUCUGGAGCAGAAAAGAACAAGAAGAAGGUAGCGUUCUAUAUGAUGAUGCUGAACCUUUGAUGAAGGAAUUGCUGGGUUUGAAGCAUUUAAAUGUUUUAAGCUGGUCCUUGCACAGUUCACUUGCUGUCCAAAAGUUUUUGAAAUAUCCAAAGCUGUUGAGCAUCACUCAAUCUGUAGGGGUUUACUUCUGUCAAAGUCCACCGCUCAAUGUCUUACAUCUAGCAUACAUGGAGAAUCUUCAGGAGUUAGUCAUUUUAAACAGUGAUUUGGAAGAGAUGAAGAUUGACAGCGCAGAAGAGGUAAAGAAACUUUUUCGAAGUGGUUUCCGCAGUCUCAACACAGUUAGCGUAGAUUAUUGCCAAAAAGCGAAGGACUUAACGUGGCUUGUUUUUGCUCAAAACCUUAAGGAGCUGCGUAUAGAUUCUUGUUAUGAUGUGGAAGAAAUAAUCAGUGUUGAUAAAUUGAGUGAUAUUUCAGAGAUAAACGGGUCAGAGCAUAACUUUUUCGCACGACUCGAAUAUCUAACCAUGUGGCGGGGACCAAAUUUAAAGAGCGUUUACCCGAAUCCCCUGCCCUUUCCAAAGCUGAAGAAAAUUCAAGUAUUUCAUUGCCGACAGCUGAAGAAGCUCCCACUCAAUUCCAGCAGCGCGAAGGGACGUCGAGUUGUCAUCGAGGGAACGAAAAAAUGGUGGGAAGAACUACAAUGGGAGGAUCAAGCCACCCAAAAUGCUUUCUUUUCCUGUGCUGUACUUUGGGAGCAUCUUUAUUAUUAAUAUGUUUGAAUAUGUAUUUCCUUUUUUCUUUUUUUUCUUGCUAUAGAGUUGCAUGAUUGUGAUAUCCUUAUUAUUAUUAUCCUUUUUUUUUUUCACAUGAAGUUCAGUAACUACUUCCGAGAGUAAUAAGAUCCAACUCGUUUUUGGUUUGGUCAAAAACUUUUUGUGGCCCCAAAUCCUUUUUAACACCAGGCCAGGCAUAGCCACUUAGGCUUGUGGCUCAGUGGUAAAUCAUUGCCCUUAAAAUUAAGAAUGAUCCUUAUUAUUAAAAUGUUGGCAUAUUUAUGGAUUGGAAACUCAGAUGCUGAACUCAUAGUAAAUAUUUAGUUAAUUUGUUAUAAUUAUAUUUGGUAAAAAAAAUAAUUAAAUUUUUUUCUUUUCCUUUAUAGUGUGUUUACUUGUCAGUAAUCGGAAUGGGCUGGAAUUGGAAUGGGUUAGAAUCAGAAUAAACUGGAAUGAGAAUGAGGAAUAGGAAUCAAAAUAAGUUGUUUACUUGAACUGUAGGAAUUGGAAUCAGAAUGAGUUAGAAACCCAUUGAUGUGUUUACUUUAUCUAAGAAUCAGAAUUGGAAUCGGAAUAAGUUAAGUUGUUUUAAGUUACUAAAACACCCUUAGUUGUUAAUAAUAAUAAUAAUAAUAAUAGUUGUCCUUUGGUAUUAAUGAUAAUAAUAACAAAUUUAAUAAUAACAUUAGAAAGAAAUAAAUAAUAGUAAUAAUUAAUGAUAAUAAUGAAAUUAAAUAACAACUACUAAUACUACAAUAAUAAUAAUAAUAAUAAUAAUAAUAAUAACAUUAAUAACAAAUAAGCAAACAAUGAAAUAAUACAAACACCAAUCUAUAUAAUUUUAGUGUACAAUCAGUGGCCAAACAAUAUAAGAAAUUAAUAAUUUAAAAUAUAAAAUUAUAAUUCCCAAAACAAACAUCGUGCUCCUCUUCAACGGAGGUAGUAGAUCGCGACGGCAAACGGCGGCAGGACGAGCGCGACCACGGCGGCAACAGAUCGAUCGCGACUAAUCGCAGCAGCAGAUCGUGACGAACGGAAGCAGCAGAUCGCAACCUUUUGACACCCCCGCUAAGACCCUCCUUUAAAUUCCUUAUAACUCUUUAAUUAAAAUUAUUUAAAUAAUUAAAGAUAAAUUAAUUCCAUUUUAUUUUGAUUGAAAAUUUAAUUAAUACUUAAAUAAAAUUAUUCUUUUAACAUUUUUCCACCCACCUCAUAUUAUAUAUAUAUAUAUAUAUAUAUAUUAGAAACUUUUAAUAAUUUAUAAUCUUUUUAAGGUGAAAUUUAAUGAGAAGAUUAUUAAUUUUAAUUUAUGGAUUAGUAUUUUAUAAAUUAAACCAAGGUACUUUGAUAAAUAAAAAUUAAAACAAGUUUUAUAAGGAUUUUGGAGUGUAGGAAUUCAGAAUAUAGAUUUUCAUGGGGACGUUGAAUAUGCUGAAGCUGAAGCUAUGAAUUUUAGAAUAAAAAUGGCAAUAGACUUUGGUUUAAUGCCAUUAAUUGUUGAAUCAGACUCGAAGACUAUUUUAAACUUGGCGAAAGGUUUUGAAAGAACUAUGAAAGAAAUAUCAUGGUUAAUUUUCGAGAUUCGAAAUUGUAUGGUUGUGAAAGACCACUUCAAAAUCAAUCUUAUAUUGAGAAGUAGUAGUGAGACCGCUCAUAAAUUAGAUAAAUAUGAUGUUAAGAAUUUGGGCUGUGUAAUUUGGUUGGAGGAAAUUUCAACUCAUGUAAGUCUUUUUCCUUUAAGUGAUUAAUUGAAGCUUUCCAUUUCCAAAGAGAGAUAGAGAGAGAGAGAGAGAGAGAGAGAGAGAGAGAGAGAGAGAGAGAGCUCAACUCAAAUGAAAGUAUGAAACAAAGAGUAAAUCCUGAUAGCAGAAAAAUGAGCCAUGAGUAGAACUAUUCGCACCUUUGAAAGCCCUCAUAAAAGUCUUUAUUCAAUAUGUCCCGCUACAUCAUUCAAAAAAUAAUAUUAUUUCUAAGGGCAGAGCUAUUUGCACUCUAAAAUUAUUCUCAACGUUUUAUUACUAUAUACACUUAUUUAUUAAUUUGAAAAAAUGAACUAUAUUUUGUACACUCCUUAAAGUACCAAAAAUGUACUUAUUUAAUCCUUUUUAAAUUAAUUUACUCUAACACACUCAUGAAAACGCCUUACAUAUUCAAAAUAUUUCUCUAAACACUCUUUUAUCAUUAAAAUUUAAUUAUUUGGUUGUAUAAUAUAUUUCUCCAAUAAAUGAAGAAUGAUAAAGCAGCAACUAAAAAAAUCCAUCAAAAUAUUUCACCAAUGAAAAGAUCGUGAGAAAUAAACAUUAUAAUCCGAACAAAUAAAUCAAUUAACCAAUAUAUCAUUUAGCUAAAUAAAAGACGCAGCUUGCGCUUCAUAGUUCUGAGCUUAGAAUCAAGAAGAGAAGUGAAGAUGAAAUUUUUAAUUGCUGAGAAUAUGAUUUUGAGGUUGAUGGAGGACUUGAAAGAGAGGGAGAAGAAAGAAUGAUUCAGAGUAGGUGCCUGUGACCCUGAUGACGAUCUUCUUCAGUACAACUAUGAUGCCACUUCCACCUCCAAUUGAAUGUCAGAAAAUUCAAAGUUUGUCAAAAGAGGAUGGUAAAUUAAGCCCCCUUUUUUUUUUUAAUCUGGAUUUGGUUGAACAUUUUUAUGUCGCAAAAAUGUUUGCUGGGUUGUAAUGCCUCAGUUGCAGACUAGUUUGUAAGAGUCUGAAUAAUUGUCCAUGUUACACUGGUAUUGUGGAAUGGCAAGUAUUUUUUGGCCAAAAGAAAAAAAUCAAGCAACCAAUGUAAACUUGUUUAAUAUCAUCAUAAUAUAACUAAAAAGGAAGUAAUUAUAAUCAUACAAAAAAAAUUAAUAACUGCCAUGUCCUUAAUAGUAAUUUAAACCAUGGAUAUUAUUGUAAUAAUUUUUUUUAUAAAAUUAUGAGUAUUUAGUGUAAUUUUUAGAGGGGUGGGGCUAUUUGAACCCACUAAUUUACUCAAUAAACCCACUUUAAAAAUAAUUUUUUAUCAUUAAAAUACCCCUAAAUUAAAUUACAGUUAUGGACACUAGAAUAUAAUUAAAAAAAAAACAGAAUUUUUACUCUUUAAACCCAUCUUUAUAUUCAACAUAGUUUUAUAGAACCCUAAUCAAAUUUUCAUUAAACCCUAAUCAAUCAAGAGGUGAGAUUCUUCUCUCAAGCCAUAUAUAUUGUUAAAUAGGCACAUGUGAGUUGAUUCAGAAUAACAAAAUUAAUUGUUAUUGAUUUGAUGGAUAUUGAUUUUAUGGAGGAUUAAUUGUUUAAUUGCUAUGAUUCGUUUGGGAAUGACCCCUCACUCAAAAUUGUUUAAUUAGUAUUGAUGAUUAAAUUUUCAAUUAAUAAUCAAUUAUUGUUUUUUCCCAAAUUCUGAAAAAAAUAUUUUUUCUCAAAUUCCUCAUAUUAGAUUUUCAUACCAUCAUACAAGAUUUUUCUCACCACACUAUAAUAUAACUCAAAAAAAUAAUUUCAUGAUAACAACUAUUUUCUCCAUUUAGAAUGUUUUGAUUCAUUUGUCCUUGAACGAGGGCCAUUCACUCAAAAUUGAUUAUUAAAUUUCCAAUUAAUAAUCAAUUUCCAAUCUAAUGGGUUUAUAAAUGAACAUUAUGGGUUUAAUGAGUAAAAUUACUAUUAUUAUAAAAACUGGGUUUAGAAAGGGCAUAUUAGGUAUUUUAGUGGGUUUACUGAGUAAAAUUUAAAAUUUUAAAAUUUAAAGAUGGGUUUAUUUAUUAAAUAGGUUUAUUGAGUAAAUUGGUGGGUUCAAAUAGCCCCACCCUUUUUAGAGUGUAUAUAACCUCACCCUAUUUCUAAACCCACAUAGAUUGAUUCCAAAAACACCCUUCGCUUGCACACCAACCGCAUUUUCACAUUUUCUUCGUCUUGACGAACUUGAAACCCAAAUCUGAUGGCUUCAACUUUCGAAUAAUCAUUAUCUCCACUAGAACUUAUAAUUUUAAAAGGGGGUUCCCCUAUGAUGCUGUAAUUUUUUUACAACAUCAAUAAUGUUUUUAAUUGUGCACCAUUGGAUUUAAUCAACGGUACACAAUAUUUGUAGGCAAAAAUAAAAAUAAAAAAUAAUGGUAAACGGUUAACAAACGUAUAAGGGGUGGAGAAGUUUGUAAAAUAACUAUGACCACCCUUAGAGUUUGAAAUAAUUUCACUUAAAUAGCAUAUUUUAUUUAAAAUUAUUUUUCAAUCCCCCUUUAAAUUUGAAAUGUGAUAAUCUUUUUUAAAUAAAUCUUCCAAAAUCUAUUACCAUUAAGUAUAAAAUAUAAUGGUAGGUUAUUUAACACAAAUCAAAUAAAUAAGUUGCAAUUGCAAAAUUUAUAUAUGAUAUAACACUAAUAAAUAACACAACUAAAUACAUAUACUUAAGUAAAUGUCAUAGUUACAUCAAUAAACUCAUUGUUCAGAUUGCUUGUAACAUAAAAAUUACUUGAUCACACAUGUUUUAAUAAAAUUUAAUAUCGUAUAUUAAAAUACUAAUUAUUUUAUAAAACAGUAAGGGUCAUUGUAUAAUUGAUCAUGAAGUAUGUAUUAUUUUUAAUACCCAUUUAACAUACUUAUUUUCUUAACUUUAUAUUUAUCUUACAGUUAAUAUCCUUACAUGGUAGGAGUUUUAAGUUUUAUAAGCUUAUAUAUUUUCAUUUUAUUUUCAAAUAUCACUUUGUUAAUUUCAUAAAAGUUACUUUUGUUAUGAUAGUUAAUAGUGAUAAUAAAUAAAAUAUUGCCUUCAAUAAUAUUUACGUGGGAAAAAAAGUGAAAGAAAAUCGUUUAUAUUUUUAGAUUUUUAUUGACAUGGUAGGAAAUUAUCUCAGCCUUAUAAAACUUAACUUUCACAAGCUUGUUUUUAUUUUAUUUUCAAAUGUCACUUUGUUAAUUUCACAAAAGUUAAAUCUAACACAUAUUCCUAAUUAACUUUAGUUUAUGAAUCAUGAAAGAUUAUUUUAUUGUUAUUCUUUGAUAGUAAUUAUAAAAUUUAUAUGCUACGAAGAGUCAUUACUUUUAUUAUGAUAAUUAAUAGUGACAAUAAAUAAAAUAUUACAUCAAAUAAUAUUUAAUGGACAAAACGAGGAAAAAAAUCAUUGUAUGUUUUUAUAUUUCCAUUAUAAAGAUAUGGUUUGUGAUACUUUAACUUAAAAUUUUGGCACAAUAUUUGAGCCACUAAUAUCUCAUAUUCUAAUGGUUGAUAUUGAAAGUCAAAGCAUCAUUUUAUAAUGUUAUAUCCUCCACCAUUGAAUAGCAUGAAAUAAAUAGUUUAAUUUUUUGAUAAAAAUUUAAAUCAAAAUAUUUCUCACUCUAUAGUUAUAUAAACAUAUAUAUUUUUCAAUAAUAAUUGGUGAAUAAAAUAUUUCUCAUUUGCUGUGACUCAUAUAGUAUUAUUAAUAAAACACAUAUAAAAUAGUUUAUUGCAAUACUUUCUAUUAUCAUUAUUGUUUAGGUAUUAAUGGUUUGUAAUUAAAUUCAUACAAUACAAAUUAUUACAAGACUUUGUGUUAAAUAGCCUACUUGAUAUUAUAUUUUAUACUUAAUGGUAACUGAUUUUGGAAGAUUUAUUUAAAAGAAAUUAUCAUAUUACAAAUUUAAAGGAGGGCUGAAAAGUAAUUUUAAAUAAAAUAUACUAUUUAAGUGAAAUUGUUUCAAACUCUAAGGGUGGUCACAAUUAUUUUACAAAAAUUAUCUACCCACUUGAACGGUUACCAUUAUUUUUAAAUUUUUUUUUAGUACAAAUAUUGUAUACCAUUGAUUAGAUCUAAUGGUUCACAAUUAAUACAUUAUUGAUGCUGUAAAAAAAUUUACAGCAUCAUAGAGGAACCCUUUUAAAAGCAAUUUCCAUAAUAUUUUCAUUAGAAUUUCUUAUAACAACAUCCAACAUUGGUUAUUGAUAUUUUAAGGUUUCAUCUUAAAUAAUAAUAACAAAAUAAUUAAAUUUUUAUCAAAAUUUAAGGAAAUACAUUGUGCUAUGAUAAACAAGGAAUGUCAACUAAAUAUCGUCAAAAUAAAUAAUAAAAUUUUAAGUCGAGUUUUGGUUUCACAUAAUUGUAAUUAUGGAGACUAGUUAUUCGAAUAAAAUUUAAUUUCUUCUGUUUAUCAUUGUAAAUUUAAAUAGGGAUAAGUGCAUGAUUAUAAAGGCAGGGUUUGAUAAGGAUUUUUUGGAGGUACCAAUAGGACCACUCAUGGGCCAUGACAAAAUUAAGCCCAUGCAAGGCCCACCUAAUCCAUUUUUACAUUUAGCCUGAAGAAUAAGACGAUAAUAAACAAUAGGCCUAAAUAAUAAGAUGAUAUAAAAGUAAGAAUAAUGUUAAGAUACCAAUUUUUUAGUCUUAACUUCUUAUGUCUUAAUGUCACACGUCAUUCAUUUAUUAGACGAUAAAUUUUAUAACUUGUAAAAUUAUUUAACCACCAUCUAAUAAAUGAUUGCCAUAUCUAUUGAAAUUUAAAUUGAAACUUAAAUUUUAGAAUGCUUAGCAUUGAGCUGAAUCUAAACGAUUUCAUUUUCUAUUAUUGUUAUUUUAUUUUAAUUUUUUUUCACAAUCGGAUUUUUCUUUGAGACAAUAGAAAGCCUUUUGGCUUUAAGCAUGUAUAGUAAAUUGAAAAAAAAAAUUAUCCAUGAGUUUCUGAAAACCAAUUAACUUCAAAAUCUCUUCCAGCGGUAGGAGGAACAUCUUCAAUAACUUUUUCAUGGCCUUUUGGGUAAUAAAUCCCAGUUCUUUCAUGAGGAACCCAGCCACAAUUCCCUUCAUUUUCUCCCACAUUAUUAUUCAUCUGCUGGCUCCUCAUCACAUUUCCCUCUUCUGCAUUGGAUUUCAAUGUCGUUUCUCUCAUUAUAUCAUGAGAACUUGCUUUCCUUGGAAAAGAUUUUUUCAUAAUUGGCCUGUGUGUUUGAAAAGCAUUUAACAAAUUAACAACACAAAAACAAAAGACUAGAAGAUUCAAAUGCUCAAAGGAAUGAAAGUAAUCUUUUUUAUUGUGAGGAUAGUGGCGAAAUCAAGAUUUUGGUUCGACAAAUGUCAUCAAUAAUAGAGAAACAAUAAAUUUAAGUAGGUUAUAACACAAAAAUAUAAAAAUAAGAGGGCUACAAAAUAAAAUUGUCAAGACACAAAGAUAUAUUUAAUUGAAGACUUUCAUAUUUCUUGAAUUUUUUUUCAACAUGGAGCCUCUGUGGAGAACUAUUGAUUCAGUUAAUAAAACAUUUAAUUCUAUUUACUUAACCAACCACUCAUAAUUAGUAAUUAGAUAAUUUGAAACUAUUAGGCCUAUUUCGAACGAACUGUUUCAUAAUAAAAUCAAUUUAAAUAAAGUGAAAAGAUUUAUUUACAAACACACCAUGCAAUAACAUAGAUUCUAUAAUGAAGUGAGAUUGUCAAAAUGAAAUCAUGAAAUUGCAAUAUAGAUAGAUAAUGGAAACAUUACUUGAAAAACAUAGAAUUAAAGGUGGGAGCUCCUCUAGCAAACGAUCCUGUCAUUUUUUUCCCCCUUUUUUCUCUCACUUUCUCUCUUUCCAAACAAUGUGGGUGGAUUGAAUUGAAUUAUGAUUUAGAUAGAGAGCUCUUUGUAUAGUGAAGUUAAAUAAGAGAAUAUUGUUAUCCAUUUCUCGGGUCCGCCUACGUUACAUGUAGUGUAACGUACACUCAGCCUGUGAAAUUUCAUCUAGCCCCUUAUACUUUCUGUUAUUUAUAUUUUAUUCAUAAAUAUUAUAAAUUUUUUGAAAUGUACAAUUUUGUUUAACCCCUUAUACACUCAAUUUUAUUUUAUUAAAACCCUAGAGUAUGAAUUCGCCCCUAUAAUAUUAAAUUCUCAAAAUAACCUCUAUUUAAUUAAAAAAUAUAAUUAUUGUUAAAUGAAUUAUAAUUAUAAUUAUUAUUUUAUUAUAAUCAUAAAUAUUUUUUUAAUAGAUUAUUGUUAUUAUUAAUAACAAGAAUAAAAAGCAUUAUAAUUAAUCUAUUAACAAUAAUUAAUAAUAUUUUUUUAUUAAAUUGUUAAUAAUAAUAAUCAAUGAUAAUUAAUAUAUUUAUGAUUAUAAUAAAAUAUGAAAGGAGAGCGGAGACUUUUAUUUUGAAUAAACUAGUUCCGAUUAACAUAUUUAUGAUUAUAAUAAUAUUUUUUGAGUUGUUUGGGCAAGGGGGUCUCAUGCGUGUGUGGACUUUUAGGCUGCCAGGAGAGCGGAGGCUGGAAAAAUACCUUGCGUUUAGAUAGUGACUUGUGUGUGAGUAAUAACAAUUUUUAUUAUAAAAAUAAGUUUUAUACCAAAUAUUAAAAAAAAUCUAGAUAAUCAUUAAUUAUUAUUAUUAUUAACAAUUUAAUAAAAAAUAUUAUUAAUUAUUGUUAAUAGAUUAAUUAAUUAUAAUGCUUUUUAUUCUUGUUAUUAAUAAUAACAAUAAUCUAUUAAAAAAUAUUUAUGAUUAUAAUAAAAUAAUAAUUAUAAUUAUAAUUCAUUUAACAAUAAUUAUAUUUUUUUAAUUAAAUAGAGGUUAUUUUGAGAAUUUAAUAUUAUAGGGGCGAAUUCAUACUCUAGGGUUUUAAUAAAAUAAAAUUGAGUGUAUAAGGGGUUAAACGAAAUUGUACAUUUCAAAAAAUUUAUAAUAUUUAUGAAUAAAAUAUAAAUAACAGAAAGUAUAAGGGGCUGGAUGAAAUUUCACAGGCUGAGUGUAUGUUACACUACAUGUAACGUAGGCGGACCCCCAUUUCUCUCAUCUCUAGGGAGGUCAUUUAUUGUUCCCGUGUACGUCAUUUUCUGUUUCGAUAAAUAUUAAAUUAUAAUACUCUUUCUUGAUCAUUGGGGAGCACUCAUUGCAGAGCAUGGCCUUCUUUUGUUCCCUUUUGUUUUGUUUUUGUUUUUUAGUCAUCUAAGUUAUGGGACAUGGCUUGUGGACUCAGCUUUUAAAAACUUUCCCUAGGUAAGUAGUUGAAUCUAGGGGAGGUACUUUUUAGUCAUAACGAGAUUACACGAUAUAAAAUGAGAUAUAGAGGUGGAUUCACCUCAUGAUUAGUGGGACAGAGAGAAUAGUUAAAAAAAAUUAUUUGAGUUAUUAAUUAAUUCUGUUGAAUAUAUUAAAAUAGGCAAGUUAAAUUUAUAAAAAUAGUCUCAUAAAUUUAAAAUUUAUAAAAUUUUAACUUUGAGAAUUACAAAAACCAUACUUUAAUUAAAAAAUAAAAGGCUAUGAGGUAACCCAUAUAGGUGGUUUUACUAUUAUUUAAUUUAGUUUCCAUUAAAUCUAUAAAAAUAAUUUAUUUAAACUCAUCAACCUAUAAAAUUUGAGUUUUCGCGUCGUGUCGUUAUAUAAUUUAACCAUCAAUAAAUUAUUUUUCUGAAUCCACCACUGAUAACAUAAAUAUAAAAAAAUUAAGUGCUCGAUUUACCUCACGCAAAUAUGACAUAAUAUUUUCGUUAAGUGUCAGAAAAAACUUAAAAAUGGUAGCCAAUUAAAUAAACUAUGACCAUUGACAAAAAAUUAAUGAAAUUGUAACAGAUAUACAAAAAGAUUUUAAAAUCCUUUUGCCCUUAAGUUGAUAUAAGAUGAGUCGUUAAUAAUUGCACGUGCAAACAUCGUAUAUUCUUUAUAAUUAAUUGUGCAGAUUUUGAUGACCAAUGCACCAAAACCACAUGGUAAAAAUCUCCUUAAUGUUUCUGUUUUGUGAAAGUUGCUGAAUCAAUGUCAUGACGCUAAUUUUCAAAGCAUGAAAAUAGAAUGAAAUUAAAGAAACCAUAGUGAUGUAUCUUGUUUGCAUACUGGAAUGUGAAAAAACUUGUUUUCAUUUCUUAAAAUAAAACAUUAUACACUGAGAGUUAUUUAUAGAUGCAGAGACUACAUUUUGUCAAAGUUUACAUAUGUGAAUACGGAAGGAAAUGUGUCAAUCCGUUCGGCGCGGAUCUUGUCUUUGACAAGUGCAGAUUAUCCCUUUGACAAGUGCGGAUUAUGUCUUUGAAAACUUCAUUCAAUGCCGUUUUAUUUGAUUCUCAACACUCCCCCUCAAGCUGGUGCAUAGAUGUCUUGCAUACCCAGCUUGUCUAGGAAUUUUGUAAAUGCCCUGCUUGAAAUGGCCUUCGUUAAAAUAUCUACAAGUUGAUCUUCUGAUCGAAUUUUCAGCAGUUCUAAGAUUUUUUCAUCUAAUUUCUCCUUGAUGAAAAAUCUAUCUAUCUCGACAUGUUUUGUUCGAUCGUGUUGAACUGGGUUAUGAGCAAUAUCUCGUGCAGCUUUGUUGUCACAGUAUAGUUGUAUUGGUUGUUGUGAUGGAUAGCCCAAAUCGUUUAAGAUAAAGCUUAUCCAUAGCCCUUCACAUACCCCAAGGGCCAUGCCUCGAUAUUCUGUUUCAGCGCUCGAACGGGCAACGACAUGUUGUUUCUUGCUUCUCCAUGUGACAAGGUUGCCUCCCACAAAGGUAAAGUGUCCUGAAGUAGAGCGUCUAUCACUAACUGACCCGACCCAAUCUGCAUCAGUAUAAACUUCUAUGUUGCUGUAAUCUUCAUUUUUGGAAAAUAGGAUUCUUUUUCCUGGAUUUGUCUUCAGGUACCUCAGGAUCCGCAUUACUGCUUUAAUGUGUUGUUCUCCGGGAUUAUGCAUAAACUGACUUACAACACUCAAUGCAUAAGCAAGAUCUGGCCUUGUGUGCGACAAGUACAUCAAUCUUCCAAUCAGUCUUUGAUAUCUUCCUUUGUCUACUGGAACUUGGUCUGAGGUAAUACAAAACUUCAGUCCUUCUUCUAUUGGGGUGUCAAUAGGCUAACAAGCUGUCAUUCCCGUUUCGUGCAAUAGAUUUAAGGCAUAUUUCCUUUGAGACAGAAAGAUUCCUCCCUUAGAUCAAGAAACCUCAAUUCCAUGAAAGUAUUUUAAGGCUCAUAAAUCCUUCAUCUCAAACUCUCUUGACAAGUACUUCUGAAGAGCCUAUCUUUCUUCCUCGUCAUUGCCUGUAACUACCAUAUCAUCCACAUAGACAAUAAGGACAGUGAUUUUACCUUGUCGUUUUUUAAUGAACAAAGUAUGAUCUGAACUGCUUUGGUUAUACCCAAAAAGAACCAUAGCCUUUGUGAAUUUCCCGAACCAUGCUCUUGGGGAUUGCUUCAACCCGUGUAAUGAUUUCUUCAAUUUGCAUCCUUUCUGAUUGAGUCGUUCUAGUCCACUGCAUCCUAGUGGCAGAUCCAUAUAAAUUUCUUCAGAUAGGUUUCCAUAGAGGAAAGCAUUCUUUACAUCAAACUGUUGCACUGGCCAAUCCAAGUUGACUGCUAAUGAUAAUAAGAUAUGAAUAGUAUUAAUUUUUGCUACCGGUGCAAACGUAUCGGAAUAAUCUAUUCCGUAGGUUUGAGUGUAACCCUUAGCUACGAGUCUUGCUUUGUAUCGUUCAAUAGAGCCAUAUGCUUUGUACUUUAUAGUAUAGAUCCAUCGGCAACCCACUGGUUUCUUUCUUGGUGGAGAUCAACUAGUUCCCAUGUUGGAUUUUUCUGAAGAGAUCUCAUUUCAUCAUUCAUAGAUGCUUUCCACUUUGGGUCUUUUAAGGCUUCUUGCACACUGUUAGGAAUAGAUACAGUAGAUAAUUGAUUCACAAAUGACUGAUUUGAUUCUGACAAGCGAUGGUUAGACACAAAAUGACUCAUAGGGUAUUUGACUCUGCUAGAGAAGUCAAGCUCAUAUGUGGUUUUAGGGAUACCUCUAUUUUGACGCUGGGGAAGAAUUCUUCUGAUUGGACUUGUGGUAGGAACAUCCUCUGCAGACGAUUAGUUAGGUAUUUCUUCAUGUGACUCAUUCUCGAUUGCAGUUGUGUCUGAGUUAUUGUGCUCCCCAAAUGUGUCUUCACUUAUCUCAGCCUGAGAAUCAUCACCAUUAUCUUUUCCAGUAUCUUGAAGGUUUACUAUCUCAAUGGAAAAUUGACCUUCUUCAAGUGGAAGAUGUGUAAGAGUAUGAAUUUCCUCUUCAUUAUACUCCCCCUGAAAUUCAGGCUCUGACAAGUAGUACAUGAUAUCUUCAUGAAAGACGACAUCUAUGGUGAUGUAUAUUUUUCUUGAUGGUGGAUGAUAGCAUCGGUAUCCCUUUUGAUAUAAGGCAUACCCUACAAACACACAACGUAGUGCUCGAGGAGAUAAUUUGUCUUGUUGUGACAAAUGAACAAAGGCAACACAGCCAAACACAUGUGGGGGUAAAUUCGGCAAUAAGAUAGUGGCAUGUGGGCUUGGAAAGGAGUCUGGAAUCCAAGAGAGCUUGAAGGUGUUCGAUUGAUCAAGUAUGUUGCGGAUGCCAGUGCUUCUCCCCAAUAAGAUAGUGGCAUGUGGGCUUGGAUUAGUGAUGCUCGAACAACUUCUAGUAAAUGUCUGUUUUUUCGUUCAGCAACGCCAUUUUGUUGGGGUGUCCCCACACAAGUGGUUUGAUGGACAGGUCCUUGUGAUUUCAGAAACUGUUGAAUUGUUGUGCUCAUAUACUCGUCUCCAUUAUCAGUAUGUAGAACUCGAAUUUGUGUCUGAAAUUGAGUCGUCACCAUCUUAUGAAAUCUUUGAAAUAAAGAGUUUACUUCGUCUUUUAAUUUCAUCAUAAAAAUCCAUGUCAUUCUGCUACAAUCAUCAAUAAAUGUAACAAACCAACGAGCACCUCCAAUUGUAGAAACUUUAGAUGGCCCCCAUACAUCAGAAUGUACUACCAUGAAAGGAACUGGAUUUUUAUUUAAGGAAAAUGAAAAAGUAGUUCGAUGGUUUUUUGAAAGUUCACAAACAUCACAUUUAAAGUUACAAAUAUCAAAUUUCAGAAACAAACUAGGAAAUAAUUUUUUUAAGUAACCAAAUGACAUAUGCCCUAAACGUUUAUGCCAUAACCAAAUUUCUGAUUUCCCUUUUUUUAUGGAACUAUCUGCGACUAGUACGGGGAUUAGCUUUCCAGUGUUUGUUGAUGACAUCUCCAAGUAGUACAAGUUGCCUCGUCUAAUACCAUAACCAAUCGUUUGCUUCAUUUGAAUGUCCUUAAACACACAAUGAUCAGGCCAAAAACUUACAACACAUGAUAAGUAAGUUGUUAAUUGAGACACAGAUAAAAGAUUAUAAUCUAAAGAUGGAACAAUUAACACAGAGUCUAAAUUUAAUUCAUCUGUGAGUCGUAAAGAUCCUUCCCCAAUAACUAAGGUUGUGGUUCCAUUUGCAGUGGAAAUAUGUUUUUGUGAAGAUGGUUUCAAUUGAGAAACUUGUUGAGAAUCAAAAGUCAUAUGAUCAGUUGCCCCAGAAUCAAUUAUCCAUGUACUAUUAAUAACAGGUGUAAGAGUUUUAAGGGCCUUACCUGGACUGACAGAGGUUGCGAUUUGCACUGAAGAUUCUUUUCUAAGAUCUGUAGUGGAUGUGGAUUCAGCUACUGCAGUUUUUUAUCCCUGCUUGGUGUUCUUCUUUCGAGUAUCCCACCAGUCAGGAUAUCCAAUGAUUUCAAAAUAUUGUUCUUUCGUAUGACCCUUCUUUCUACAAUGAGUUCAAUGGAGUGAUGACUUGUCAACAAGCUUCCUUUAAGGCUGCUGUCGUGCUAUCAUAGCAGACGUUUCUGAGUCGACCUUCUUAUUUAGUUUGCUUUGCCGUACAUCUUCUCUUCAGAUAAGAGAAUAACAUUCUUCUAAGUCUGGGAUAAUAUCUUUUCGUAGAAUUUCUCCACGAACUUGGUCAAAUUCUUCAUCUAGCCCAGCAAGAAAAAUGUGCACUCUCAAUCUUUCAACAGACCUUCUGUAUAUUACAACAUCUUCUGGAUCCUUCAUGACCACUUUAUCUCGGUGAUCAAGUUCUCGAAAUAUUUCAAUCAAUUCUCCGUAGAAUUUAGAGAGUGGUUGUCCAUUUUGCUUGAUUGAGAAUGCCUUCUGAUUUAGAGUGAAAACUUGUAAUUCAUCGCUUCCAUCAUAGAAGGCUUUUGAUAAUGCAUCCCAAAUUUCGUAGGCUGUAGGAAUUCGUAAAUAUCGCUUCAUGAUCUCCGGAGACAUGGAUAUGAGUAACCAUCUUUUCACUUUUUGGUUCUCACUAUACCAUUUCUCAUAUUCCUUUGAAGAUUCCUCAGAUGGCUUUGUGUAGCUACAAAUAUAUGAGAGUUUUUCUCUUUCUGCAAGAUGCAUCUCCAUUAUUUGAGACCAAACAUCGUAGUUUGUCUCAAUGAGGAUAAUUCCAGCAUUAAAUACUCCAUCAGAUUGAACAGAUUGAAUGACAACAGGAGCAGAUUCAGUUGGAGUUUUCUCCAUUUUUUUGUUUUUUUCUUUUCUUUUUUUUUUUGUUUUUUGUUUUUUAUUUUUUUAUUUUUUUAUUUUUUUUUUUUUGCGUCUAGAUUGAAAGAAGAAAAAAAAUAACCUUUUUAGAUCAAAAAACGACAAGUUGUUUGGCCUCUGCUUGACGAAACGAUAUGUCGGCUCUGAUGGAAUAGAAACGACAUGUCGUUUUAGGACUGCUGCACUCUGGAGAUAAAAAACGACAUGUCGGUUGAAGUCUUCUUCAACCUCUGGAGCGCGUGAGAGCGCGUAAAGAUGACAGAGGCGCGUGGUUGAUUGGCCGUGGUUUCGGGUGGCGCGUGGAAGCGCGUGGGUAUGUGUUUAAAUGCGAAAUUUUUACAGUUUACUUACUGGAAACUGAGAAAUUUGAUGGUAUUCUUGGUUUUUGAGGAACACACUCUUGGAAAAUUGAUAGGAUUGUUGAUAAAUUUGUAAACUCAAGUUUUUUACGUAUGGGUGGCUUGUUUUUUGAUCGGCAUGGAUUUCGGAAAUGGUAGGAAUGGUUGUAAGGAAGAAAAUUGUGGGAAAAUGGUUGUGGGAAGAAUUUGGUUUCCUCUGUUUUUGUUACAAAUAGAGCAGUGAAACUGGAAGAAACUUGAGCGUAUUCAUGGCUCUGAUACCAUGAAGAAACUUGUUUUCAUUUCUUAAAAUAAAACAUUAUACACUGAGAGUUAUUUAUAGAUGCAGAAACUACAUUUUUUCAAAGUUUACAUAUGUGAAUACGGAAGGAAAUGUGUCAAUCCAUUCGGCGCGGAUCUUGUCUUUGACAAGUGCAGAUUAUCCCUUUGACAAGUACGGAUUAUGUCUUUGAAAACUUCAUUCAAUGACGUUUUAUUUGAUUCUCAACAUAAUGAAAUGUUGAUAUCGGCAAAUCUAGGAUGUAAACUAAGGUUCACAUAAAAAAAAAAAAACUAAUAAUAAUAAUAAUAUUAUUAUUUUAAUCCAUGAAUAGAAAAAGGUUGUAUGCUCAUCAACCCAUUGCAAACUUUUGGCUUAAGAUUAAUAUGAGUAAUACAACACAGCUAUAUCAUAUCCCUAAACUUGAAAAUUAUUUAAAAAGGACCAUGUCUUGAUGAGGAUGAUAAAAUUAGCAAGGUUUCUAUUUUAUAAGUGUCUUCAACAACAGCUCAAAAACUUGCCUCCUCGGUUGUUGGUCGCCUCAAGAAAUAUCGCAAACUGUUAGCAAGAACCUGCAAAUUUGAUCAAGCAAAGUCUAAUCAGUACAUCAACGAUCGUGCAAGUCUUCAGGCGCACCGUGUGAUCAUUAGCACGUUAAUGUUCUUACCGCCCACUUCAAAGUUUAAAUUCAAAUCUUUUAUAUAAGAACAGUUUUGCAACUAGAAUACCGAUUUUGAGUAGAAAUGGUAAGUCUCUUUAUUCUUCAGAGCAAACAAUCUAUAAAGCAAUUUCCGAUGUCCUAUAUGUAGGCCUGUUUUUUUUACCUGUUGGAGAGGCUUGAUAAUGGCUUCACCCUUGUAGCUGACAUGAAACUUUGCCUUAGCCAACAACCCCUGGGUGCGAAAACAAAAAUUAGAACAAAAUAUAUUAAUAAGGGAAGGCCACUCUUUUGUCAAUAUAUAUAUAUUAAUAAGGGAAGUGGGACGUUAUCCUUCCCAUAAUAACUCAUAUACAUAGUUUUUAACAUUCAUGACAACAUGAUAUUAAUUUCAAUGGCAGGCAAAUUGAAUAUAAUGUCUUUAAAGAAAAUGAGGAUAAAAGGGAAGUAAUAUUUGGCCUAAGAGAACUCUAAAAACAACUUAGUUUCCUAUUCAAAUGAUCCACUAGUGAGAAGAGCCAAAAAUAUCAAUAAUCUGAAAAAUCAAAAUAAGACCAGAAAGCAAAAACCUGUUGUUUUGGAGGAUCAACGCCAAAGGCAACACCCAUUGCCAACUGGGAACUUCAUUCCUGAUUCCAUCACCAACACAAAUGGAAUAAACUUUUCAAUAAGAGAAUACCUACAGGUGCUCCACCAAGUGAUAUCUCAAGAGAGACAAAAAAAUGAUUACCGGGUGAUACUGAAGUAGAUUGUUUAUAACUGUCAAACGAAUUGCCUCAAGCACCUCAGGAUCAUCAACUUUCCUACCAGUAUCACUGCACACAAGCAUCAUGACCAAAUUAAUCAAAACCACAGUGGGAAUCUAUUGCAAGAACUUCUCCAAAAAACAGCGAUGGCUCUUUGGAUCAUUGAUUUUAGGUUCUAGUAUGUCUAAAAUUUUAACGAUUUCAACAUUAGUUAUAAACAUCUAUUUGCAACAGACUGAUCACACUUGUAUAUGGAGCAUCAAAAGUAGGUAUUUACUAUGCUCAUCAAAUAUAGACCAGAAGACGUUGACAACAAUUAAAGGAUAUUAGUGAAUGAAACUGCAAGCAGAGAAUAUAAAUCAGCUCAGUAAUGCAAGGGCAUGAAAAGCAAAAUGCAUAUGCAUCACAAAAUUACAGAGAUAUAUAAUUUCGCAGUCAUAUGAUGAUAUUGCAGCGGUGAAGCCGUGCGUGAGGUUAAGGCAAGUGAUGGAAUGACUUGCGUUACAAAAGAGGUAUGUGAAGUUGCACUAUAAAAAUAAAAUAAAUUUGUAUUUUCAAGUAGUGAGGUUAACGUGGCUUGUUUUUGCUCAAAACCUUAAGGAGCUAUAUAUAAAGUUUUGUAAUGAUGUGGAAGAAAUAAUUAGUGUUGAUAAAUUGAGUGAUAUUUCAGAUAUAAUCGGGUCAGAGCAUAACUUUUUCUCACAACUCGAAUAUCUAUUCAUAAGGUGGGGACCAAAUUUAAAGAGCGUUUACCCGAAUCCCCUGCCCUUUCCAAAGCUGAAGAAAAUUGAAGUACGUGGAUGCCCACAGCUGAAGAAGCUCCCACUCAAUUCCAGCAGCGCGAAGGAACGUCGAGUUGUCAUCGAGGGAGAGAAAAAAUGGUAGGAAGAGCUACAAUGGGAGGAUCAAGCCACCCAAAAUGCUUUCUCUUCCGGUGCCGUAAUUAAUGAGGGUCCUUUUCAUUAAUAUGUUUGAAUAUGUAUUUCUUUUUUUUUUUAAUUUUCAUUAGAUUUAAUUGCAUCUUGUUCUUGUUGUCUGGUGUGUCAAUCGUUCCCUAUUUUCAGUUAAUAAAAUUUCAGCAGUGGAUUCUUGGUUUAUUAAUGUUUAUAUAACUGAAUUGUUCAGCAGAUGUACUCUGCAUAUGUACUCUGCACAACUAACACAGAAAUAAACACAGAAAUAAAUAUAUGUAAGUGGGUACAGGACUGACUCUGCUUCUGGCUGCGAAUUGCAAAUAAAAGAAGCCGAUAUAUUAAACCCAACUGACAUUAUUAUUGCAAAUAAGAGAAGUUAAUACAUUGUCUACCCACUCUGCAGACUGUCAACAAAUGUUCAACCACCACAAAUGAAAAAAUGGAACUUGAUUUUUGUCUAACCAAAUACAAGCCAAACAGGAUUUUGCGCAGAUAUUCUACCAGCAAAUUCUAAAUCCUCUUUGACAUAAUCCAUCUUAGAAUAAUUGCUCCUUACUUCAUCUCUGAAACCAAACUCUUAGCUCUUGCUUUUCUAAUAGGUUGCAGGCCGUUUUAGUAGACACCCCAUGAAAGGAUCGGCUAGAGUGUAAACAAGCAUUGCCCCUUCCUUGGUUGCUUGCUUUACUAUCUCCAUCAACUGCUCAACAUCAUUAAAUUAACAAAAUUGUUGCAAUUACAAUAUGUCAGUGCUCACAUUUUAGCUGAUUAAAUUAAAUGAGGUUUCAACAUUAAGCAAAACAAUCCAGAUUAUAAUAAUAAAGCAUUUCCUCUAGUACACCAACAACAAUUAUUGUUUUCUGUGAUCAAAUCACAUACAGAAAAUAACUAAAUUGACAAGAGUUGAACUGAAGAGUCAGCUUUCCAAUUUUCUACUUCUACAAUUUUAUUCGGAAUAAAGAAAAACAGCCUAAUAUAGAAGGGAAAGAAAUAAAAAGUUCAGCAUGGUCAAAUGGGUCAAUUUUCAUCCUCCCUUUACUGCUCCACUUUGCUCAAUCAAGUGGAUUUACAUUCAAUUCUUGAGGAUUUGAAUUAAAAAAACAAAAAAAAAAAAGCAACAGUUUAUAUUCAUCUAUAAGCGGGCUAUGUAAAGAUCAAGGUCUGUGUCUGUAAAACUUAAGUCUUCCGGCUUCAAAGGAGAAUGAGGCAAAAGCUGAACAUUUGUGGAGUGAUAUAAAAAAUUUGUGGUUCUGGAUCCAUUUCACAUUAGGCAUUGUAAUGUUUAUGGAUGGUAUACAGGAUGUCACGAAUAGUUAAACGAAGAAGGUAUUUGAUUGAAAUGCGCAGAUGUUCGAUGAAAUGUAUCUGCGUUUCAGCCUCAGCGGAAAUUGUUGUGAGUGUGUGAUGGGUAUUUCAAAAUAUUGAAUCCAAGACAAUUGAAUUUGAAUUAAAUUGAAGGAGUUUAAAUUUAAUUAACUAAAGUUAAUUGACUCAUUUUUAAUAAUGUUAAAAUUUGGUUAGAGGAAGUUAUGGUAGUUAAGAAAAUAAAAUUAAAAGAAGUUGAAGUGGAUUAAAGAGAGAUAAAUUAAAUGGAGGCUAUUCAAAGAUGUAUUUGGAACAGACACCGUUAAUUUAUAAAUAGUAGCCUACAUAUUAUUAUUCGAUAUUGAUUUUUUCUCUACCACUUCUUCAACUCUACUUCUUCCAUAUUCCAAAUACUAACACAUAAAUCAUCAUAUUUUAUAUUUAAUUAUUUGUUAUUCCAAAUUGUUGUAUUGAGUGUGCACUAAUACAAAAAUUACAGUUGUAUCCUAGGAACUAUCUAUCAACAAUCUAUUUGUACCAAAAUAUUAUUUUGAGAGGCAAAAACAGUCUCAAAAACAGCGUAUACCACAUCUUAACUCUUACUUAUUUUAUUCAUAACCAUAUCAUAUUUUUUUGCAAUAUCUUAUUUAUUAUCUUAAAUUUUUACAACUAUCUUAAGAUUAGUUCUUAUGGAUGUUGUAACUAAUGCUGCAAUGAUGGCUGUCGCUAAAGCUCUACUUGACACACAAAAACUGAACGUUUGAUAGGAAUUUUCUAAGGCAAUGGCAUGAUCAUAUCUAUGGCACAUUGGAUGUAAUGAAUUAUGCUUAAUUUCUAUAGAGCCUCCACCAGAUUCUGAAUCUAAAAAUUAUGAGGUAUCAUAUCAAAAUUAGACUAAAGCAAAUAAGAUAUGCUGAAGUACCAUUCUGAACACUGUUUCAAAUGAGUUAUAUGAUGUUUGUUCACAACACAAGUUUGUGUAUGAAAUUUGGACUUAAUUGCAUAAAAAUAUAUCAUAGAAGAUGCUGGAGCCCAAAAAUAUUUAAUUGCUAAUUUUUUAGAUUUUAAGAUGAUAGAAGAUAAGGAAGUGACUUCUCAAAUUCAUGGAUUCCACAUGCUUAUUAAUGAUUCGAAAAAUGAAAAUAUAAAUCUUCCUGAGUUUUUUGUGGUUGGUUACCACAUUGAAAAAUUGGCUGACUCAUGGAAGGAUUAUUAGAAAAUAACAAAGAAAAUAAUAAGCACAAAAUGAAAGCAUAAGAAUUUGGAGGAUGCUAUUGUUCAAAUCCGAAUUGAAGAAAAACAUAGACAAAUGGAUCAAUUGGAGAAAGCCAAGGAAAUUACUUUUAAGGCUAAUUUGAUUGAGAAUGAGGCUCAUCCAAGCAAGAAUCAAAACCCUAACAACAACAAGCUUUUCAAAAAUAAAAAGAUCACAUUAAAAAAAAAAAAAGGCAAUUGUUAUGUUUGUGGCAAACCUGGAUAUUUUGCUAUCAAAUGCAAGUAUAGAAAAAGAGAUCACAAGCCUCUUAAGGCCAAUUUGGUCAAUAAAGAAGAAAUUAUUGCUGUUGUGGUGGUCACUCAAGCGAACUGCUACCGAGGGAAAAAAAAUGGCGACAAAUUCUACUGCUACCAAACACAUUAGUAGUGAUAGAAAUUCUUUCUUUAAGUAUGUUCAAGAGAGCGAUUUGGAAGAAAAAGUGCAUUUUGGUGACUUCCACUCGAUUCCAAUCAUAGGAAAAGGUAAAAUUCUUCUCAAAUUGACUUCCGGAAAAAUCUUCUCAAUGAAAAAUGUACUUAAUAUUCCUAAUAUUAGAUAUAAUUUAAUUUCCUAUUUCUACUUGGGAAGGGUUGGUGUAAAAGUCUCCUUUGAAUGAGAUAAAAUUGUAAUGACUAAAAAUGGGCUCUUUGUUGGGAAAGGAUAUGUCUAUGGAAAUUUGUUCAAGAUUAAUGUACUUGACACAAUUAUUAAUAAUCGAGUCUCUACUUCUCCUUAUAUUUUCUUACUCUGUUGAUUUACGGCAUGCUAGAUUAGGCCAUGUGAAUUUUUCUUGAAGAAAAUGAAAGGUAUUGGCUUACUGUCUGGUUAAUGUAUCAAAGAUUGAAAAAUGUUGUGUACGUGUGGAGCCUAAGUCUGUAAAAAGGACAUGUAAACAAAUUCUUAUGAGAGAAACUAAAAUAUUCAGUUUAAUUUACAGUCACCUUGGAGAUUUAAAACAACCAUGACUAUAGGAGGUAAAAGAUUUUAUGUAACCUUGAUUAAUGAUUUUUCAAUAUAUACUAAGUUGUAUUUACUAAGAAAUAAAGAUGAGGCGGGUGAAAAUUUCUCAAUUUAUGAAAAUGAAGUUGAAAAUCAACUUGGGAAAAGAAUUAAAAAAAUUAAGAACUGAUAGAGAAGGGGAGUAUGCGUCUAAUAUGUUUUUGCCCUUUGUGAGGAUCAUGGCAUUAUUCAUGAAAUGACACCUCCUUAUUCACCUGAAUCGGAUGGGGUUGCUAAGAGGAAAAAUAGAACCCCAAAAGAAAUGAUAAAUGCGAUGCUUGUAAGUUCUAGGGUCCCUUUGAAAUUAUGGGGGGAAGCUAUCCUUGAUUUACAUCAGAUGGAUAUGAAGAUAACGUUUCUCAAUGGUGACAUUGAUGAGACUAUCUAUAUGGUGCAGCCUGAAAACUUUGUAUCAGGAGACCCAAAUAAUAUGGUUUGCAAACUUAAUCAAUCUAUCUUUGGACUCAAGCAAGCAUCUCGACAAUGGUAUUUCAAGUUUCAUCAAGUGAUCAUCUCAUUCAAUUUUGAGAUGAAUUUGGUCGAUGAUUGCAUAUACUAUAGGUUCUGUUGGGGCAAGUAUAUUUUUUCGGUUUCGUAUGUCGAUGAAAUAUAAAUCCAUCUUGUUAGCAAUGAUAUAUGCUUAUUACACAAUACCAAGAAAUUUCUAGCUAAUAAGAUGAAACAGCUAUAUCAAAAAAUAUUCUCAAGAGAUAUGGCUUACAAGAUUGCAAGAAAUUUAGUUUUUAUGGAAGAUUGUGAAUUUAGAUGCUUUUAUGAUAUAGACAUUUUUCAGUUAUUUCAGUUUAUGGAUAUUUAAAGUUAUUUUCUACAAAAUUAAAUGUUUUGAUUAUUCACACUCUGAUUUUAAUAUGGUUUGAUCUUACUAACGUUUAAAGUGAACCAGUUAGAAAUAGGCAUAUUAAGAUCACAAUGUAUGAAAUUUCCAUGCUAUACAUCCAUAUCAUGAUCCAUGUCAUUGGCAUAGUGACCAUUGAUGAGUCGAGUUAUGAAAGUUGUUAUAAAGGCCGCUUUGAUCUUAUGUUGAUAUGAUUAAUGAACCGGAUUAGUUAUGGAUGCAUUUAAGUAAUGAUAGUAAAGUUCAACUUAUACAAUUAUUUUUGCAAAGAAUAAUUAUAAGGUUACACAAUUAACCCAAGUAGCAUAUUGUUGGAUCUUGAAUCCAGUAUUAUUGGAUCCUUAAUCUAACAUUGGGCUCAUAUGUGAAUAAGUAUGAGUUGCAGAUUGUCAUAUAUGAUUAAAUCCAAUGAAAAGUAAUCUAAAAUUUUUUUCAGUGAUUUGAACUUUGAUGUAUCAAAUUGGGUGUGAGCCUUUAAUAAGAACAAUUUCUAUUUGUAAGAUGGGUUAAAAUAGAAAUACCUAAAUAUAACAAAAAAGUGUCUAUAUAAGUAGUUACAGUCCCAAGGCACUACUAGAAAAAUGGUCUUUACUGAUACUUGUGUUCUGACACUUUGUUUAAAAGUAUCAGUAUAUACAUAUAUUUGGAUCAUUUUUCACGUUUAACAGAUAUGUAUCAUUAAUUACUAAUACUGAAGUAUCAAUAGUUUUAGUAAUAACGAUCAAUGACGCUUAGGUAUCAGCAAUUAAAAAUUAUCAUUUUAAUUUUGUUUUAGUCCAAAUUCGAACCCAAGACCUCUUAAACCUAGAGCUUUUACAUUGAAUCAAAAGACCACUAGGCUACAAAUUAUUUUUAAUUUUUUUAGAGUUGUGCUUUUUAAGUGGAUAAAAACAAAACAAAUGGACAAGUCUUAUCUUAUCCAAAAUACAACUUUUCAACUCCCUUUACCAAAGUAUUCGUUCCCUUCUAAGCUCCCCAGAUCUGAAAAAUCCCUAACAUCCAAAUUGUCAAAAAGUGCUCAGCCAUGAUCCUAUCAAACUAGUGGCACAGAUUCACCAUUUGCCUUCAAAAUCCUAACUUAUUGUUUCUUUUCUUAUUUUAUGAUUUCGGGUCUCUCUUGUUGUCAUUAGAUCUUGAGUUUUUUUUUGUUUUAAUUGUUUUUUUAGGUUUAAAUAAGUGAUUUGGAGAAGAGCUUCUAUGUUUCUUUGGCUACUUGGAAGAAACUAGAAGGUAUUAUUUCUUUGGCUACUUGGAAGAAACAAGAAGGUAAAGAUUUAGCUUUUAUUGUGUUUUUUUCUCUACUACUUUCUUUUCUUUUAUUGGCACCAAAUAGCCUUCAUUAUAUCUACUUUGGAAAAUAUUGUGUUUAGGGUGAUCGUCACUGUAAGGUUAACUUUAUUUCGCUGAUGAACGACAAUAAACAUUUUUUACAGUAAAACCCUAAAAUUUUCUAAUUUGGGAAUUCUUAAGAGCAGCAUGAUUAUGCUAAAAUUGAUGGUUUAUAUUGGUUCAUAGUAGUUCUAUGUUGAUAUAACUUAUUGCUUAUUAACUAUUUGUUCAUGUGUUAUUAGCUUUUUUUUUCAAAAGCAAUCUUUUCAUUUUUUUUGGCUGUUAUUUUUUAGUUUUGUUCAUAUCGAAUAGAUUUCAAUUUUUAUUUGCUAUAAAUAGUCUCAUUGGAUGAUUACUUAUUACAAACUAUCAAAUAGAUGCUUUUACAAAGGAAAAGUUUGAAGUAUGUGGCUUAGGUUGAGAAAUGAGGUGUCUUUAUCAUUUCUUUAAUGGAUUUGUUUACAGGGCAAAACAGAAUUUUGUUUCUUCAAUUCAUUACUAAGGCAAUAUUAGAUUUGUCUUAUUUAUAUUUAUGUUCAUAAUAAGGCAAUAUCUACUUUAAUUGUUUAAUUUUUCUUAUUUAUAUUUAUAUGACUGAUGGCCAAAAUCAUAAGACUUGUUUAUAAGUAAUGAUUUUGGAAUGAACUCUCAAAUUAUUGAAAUAUUUUGUCCAAAGUUUACCAUAUGUUUGAAAUAAUUAAAGUUAAAUGUGUAUGUUUCAGUUCUGGAAAUUUGGAAUGAAUUGGGUCUAUAACUAAUUUUUAAUCGAUUUUUCAAAAUGGUUGGUUGUUGUCCAAUCUUUCAUAAAUUACUCAUGUAUCAUGUUUGGUGGUGCAAAACGAUAGUCUAAACAUGUCUGAAUGAGCUGAAAUUCGGAGAAACUAAAGUUCUAUAUGAAUACUUCAAAUUUGAAAAAUUUUAUGUUGAUUGAACUUGCAAGUUAUUUUUAAUGAUUUUUUAAACUCUGCUGCUCUGCAGCAAGUUCUUUUGACAUAACUAUUUAUUAACUUUUGUUCUUACAAAACACGAGCAUAAUAAUAUCAGAAUAACCUCAAAUUUUAAUAUGUUGUUCAUUCAUAUGUGUUGUUAAAAACUGGAAAAUAUCAUUCCAAUGUAUUAAGUAUCUUAAAUUUUAUAAGAUUCAUGGCCAAAAUCAUAAGACUUGUUUAUAAGCAAUGAUUUUGGAAUGAACUCUCAAAUUAUUGAAAUAUUUUGUCCAAACUUUACCAUAUGUUUGAUAUAAUUAAAGUUAAAUGUGUAUGUUUCAGUUUUGGAAAUUUUGGAAUGAAUUGGGUCUAUAACUGAUUUUUAAUCGAUUUUUCAAAAUGGUUGGUUGUUGUCCAAUCUUUCAUAAAUUACUCAUGUAUCAUGUUUGGUGGUGCAAAACAAUAGUCUAAACAUGUUUGAAUGAGCUGAAAUUCGGCGAAACUAAAGUUCUAUAUGCUUACUUCAAAUCUGAAAAAUUUUAUAUUGAUUGAACUUGCAGGUUAUUUUUAAUGAUUUUUUAAACUUUGCUGCUCUGUAGCAAGUUCUUUUGACAUAACUAUUUAUUAACAUUUGAUCUUACAAAACACCAGCAUAAUAAUAUCAGAAUAACCUUAAAUUUUAAUAUGUUGUUCAUUCAUAUGUGUUGUUAAAAAUUGGAAAAUAUCAAUCCAAUGUAUUAAGUAUCUUAAAUUUUAUAAAUAUGUAUUUAAGUACCAAUUACUACUGUAGUUUUUCAUUGACAAUUUUGAAUUACACACAAAUCUACUUAAUUAUUUUUAGGAAUCUGGUUUUAUUAUUUAAUUGUCCCACAUACCUCUUGUUGUGCAAAUUUUAAUGAACUCGCAAGUGCACGAAUCUAUUGUAGUAUAGAUCAAUGGUGACGAGUGUCGAUCCCAUGAGGAGGUGGAUUUUAAUUAUAUGUAGAAUUAAUUUUGUAAAUGGGUGGUUGGAAUUGUGGUGGAAGUGAUUUAAAUUAUCCUAAAAUUGGAAUUGAAAUGGCGAUAAUCAAUUCUAAAAUUGGAAUUGCAAUGGCGAGAAUAAAUUGAAGCGAAAUCUAUUGAAAUGACGUACUUGGGUAUCUGGAUCCGUAUCAACAUGCACCAUGGGCUAAAUAUUCCUUAUUAAUACCAAUUAAAUCAUGAGGGGGGGAAUCCACACCUCAUGAACCACACUUUAAUCAAUAUGGUGCUAAGGGCUUAUCGUGCCAAAUAAUAAUAACCUUGUACUAGGGGGCCGGUGAAACUAAGGUGGUACUAGACAAGAUUAGUAUUAUUUGUCGACGAGAAGUUAAAACAUCCACAAAAAUUAGAGGGGAAGAGAAAAUAAAUUUACCAAAUAAAGCCCAUGACACAUGUUGAGACUUCACCUUCAACCCAAGCUUGAAAGAAAAUUAGCUACUCAUAAUUGAACUAGGGGCAAAAUGGAAAUUUAUUAAAAUACGAAGAAAAUACAAGAUGGAGAAGGAAUUACAAAAAAUGGAUUCAGAGAUAUCAAAUUAGGGGGGGGAGGCCCCCUUUUUAUAGAUACAUGGAGUAAAUCAUUGUCAUCGGAUUAAAAACAGUUUGGACGCUCAGGAUUGCGCCACAUCAUCAGUCAACAGUACGCGGUUUGACCACGUGGAUGAACAGUAACACGGUUUGACCCGAGUUGAACAGUAACGCAGUUUGGUUGAAAAUAAUCCUGUGUGAUGCGUGUACCGUACGCGAGAUUUUUCGUCCACUGAUAUGCUGCCACGUCACCAUCAACAGUACAUAAGAAUUUUAGUCCAACAGGAUCAUGACACCUCAUCAGUCAAUGCCACAUCAUCGGUCAAUGCCACGUCAUCGAUCCGUCUAUGUGAACAGUGUCGUGAACAGUAACAUAUACAAUACCGUACAUGUGAAUAGUGUCAUUUUUCCUUUUAUACUCCUCCUAAGGUUUUCAACCAUCUUGAGUUCAAAAGUGAUGUCUGUUUUGCCGUCUGAUCUCUCCUUUAUUGUGAAAUGACUAUAAUGCCCCUAAAAUACAUAAAAUACUUAAUUAAAAUAAAACACAUGUAAUUAAAUCACAAGAAGGUUAAAUACAUAAAAGUAAAGGUUGUUAGUAAUACUUAAAAUGUAAAAUGACGGGUUUCUCCUUUAUAAAUAUGCAUUUUCUAACACUCAACACACCCCCCAACCAACUUAUUGCUAGUCCCUAGCAAAUAAAGUGAAAACAAAAUUCAAAUUCAAAAUAAUUUUUUUUUUAAUAGAAACACUCGUAUUCCAUCAGAUUAAUGAUAACAAUCAAAUAAAAGUAUAAGCAUGAUCUCCAGUCUAAAGCAACAUCAUACCCACAUCAACCAUCCACAUGAAUCAGCCCAGUAGACUUUGUUAUAGCUACUUUUAAUAAUGACAUGUCAAACCCCAAAAUCUCACUGGAAGUAGUGACACUCUCACAAAGAAAUUAAAACCAAUAAAAAUAGUCACUCCAAUGAAUGGUAAUUGAGAGAGAAAAUAAUAAAGAAGUGAUAUCACAUGCUCUCACCAAGAUGAAAUAAAUAUGCCCUCAGCUUAGAAAUAAUACGAUCUCAAGUUAAAUAAAAAUGCUAGUCAACCCAAUUUAUUUAUCUUUUUAUUUAUUUAUUUAUUUUUAUUAUGCACCACUACAUCUUUUUAGCCCACAUAACUAGCUUCUACUUCAUAUUAUAAUUCCCUAAAAUUAGGAAGGACUUUUAUUAGGAUGUAACGUAGGCUAGGGACAUGGUUAACAAAGAAGGGAAAUAAGGAAAACAAAGUGUAUGUUUGAGAAAAAUGCAGAGGAAUUUUUUUUUUGCUUUUACUUGGCACAACGUCACUAAAUAAAAUAAUUAUUUACAUUUUCUCAAACAUAAAUAGGUGAUGGAACUUAUAAGACAUCGGGUAAUACUCCAAAUCGGAGUGGGUUAAGAUGAUAAGUUGACAAAGAAAAUGUCUUUUUUUUUUUUUAAAGGCUCAAAAGGGUUAACUAUGGAUAUUUAAUAAAAGGGAUGGCUAGAAAGGCUCAAACGGAUCAAAGAUGGCCUUUCCAUCGUCUUUUAGGGCUCUAAAUAAUCAUCCAUAUCUACUAGUUAGAUGGGCCUCCAAAUGUAGCAACACACAUUUUUUUUUUCUUUUUUUUUUAAUUUUACAAUUUUUUUUUUAAGGGUUAACUCAAAAGAAAUCUAGAGAUCGUGUAUACAAUAAUAAACUGCUAAGCUGUAUAGAGAAUGGGCAAAAUGGUUACUCUCCAAGAAAAUGAUAGGCUCAACAACUCACUUGGCACUUAUUUAUGACAUGUUCAUUCCUUCAACCAACUCAUAUAUAUCUCCGACAUCAACAUGUAAAAUAGCAAACAUAGCGUAACAUCACUUAAGACCAAAGAUAAUACAACUACUAAAAUUUAAAAUUAAUCAUGUCAUCCAAUGUUAAAACAAAUCACACAAAUUUUUUUUUUUUUUUAAACAACAUUCUACCCCCCAACCUAUUCUAAGCAUGAAAGGAAAAUAUGCAUGCAGAAAUGUGAAUAUAAUGCAGAAAAACUAAUUAGAAAAGUUACACUUAAAAUGAUAGAAAACGAAAAUAAUUUUUUUUUUUAACUUAGAAGAUGCGUUUCUAGAGGCACUACACUCCAUAUUCAGCCAUCUUCGACUCACAAGUUGGAAAAUGUAUAUUUAUGGAGGAGAAAUUAAAAAGAAGAAAAAUAAACAUAAAAACAUAAUAAAGAAAAAGAAAAUGUUUGAAUUUUUUUUUGUUUUUUAAUUUUUUUUAAACGAUGAAGAUGCGUUUCUAGAGUCACUACACUCCAUAUUCAGCCAUCUUCAACACAAAAAGUUAGCAACAAUUAGUUUCUACAACAAAAAAUUAGUAAAAACUUAACCAAAAUUCCACAAUUGUCGACUAUUCCCUCCCCCCAACCAGAAUGAAAUAUUGUCCUCAAUGUUUGAAAGGAAAGAAGUAGAGUUUAGAAGACAUCACCUAGGUGGUGCAACACAGAAAAUAAUAUUUACAAGCGGAGAGUUAAAUCUAAUUUGUACUUCUUACUGCGGCUACGGUUACCAUAAUUAUUUGGAUGCUCCAACACAAAAGUCCAGGGGUCUGGCUCCGGUCUAUAAACUUGUAACAUAUCAAGUAGCUCAUUAGCAGUGUGAGCACAAAUAAAGAGUUUUUUCGCAUUAGAGGGAAUGAAAUAGUUUUUUAUUGCAUGGUUAAGAAAUGCGAUAAAGCCAUCAUAAAAGUUAUUGACAUUUAACAAACCGAUAGGUUUCUGAUGGAUGUGCAUAUGGGCCCAAGAUGCUAGUGUGAUAAGUGCCUCUAGUGUUGCAAGAUCUCCUGGAAGGAAAAUAAAAGCAUCAGCAUGAUUAAGCAUUUAAGUUAUUCUUUCUUGCAUACCUGAGACGACUAACUCUUCUCCAGUUGAUGAGUCAGACGAACUGCCCAAUGGUUUUAGGGCUCUUGGGAUGAUGCCUAACACUUGGCUGCCUCUGACAAAAGCUGCUUCUGAGACCAUUUUUGAUAACCCUCGAUUACCUCCUCCAUACACCAAGUGUAAUUUUCUCGCUGCUAUGCUUCGACCAAGAUCGAUGGCUGCCUCAACGAACUCUUUAUGUUUGCCAUAGGUAAAUCCAGAAAGCACACAAAUGUUCUUGAAUUGUCUAUUUGGAGUAGCUGCCAUUGUGAUACUUCUCAAAAAACAAUUUGUGAGUGCUUGACAAAAAAAAAAUCACAUUUAAGAGUCUUGGUGACAGUGGGUCACAGUUGUGUAUGAGGUAACAUGUCAGUGUCAAAUAACGCGUAAAGCACGUGGCUCGCGAGUCAAAAAGGAAACAGUAAAAAGGAAAAAGCAAACAGUAAUAAAAUUAUUAAAGACAAUAAUACACACAAUAAAACAAUAGUGAAAUAAAAUAACAGUAAAGUGAAAGGAUAUUUACAGGUAGUUGCGACAGUGGCUCACAUCUUCCUCUGGUUUUACGUCCAGAAACGGCUUGAACGCCCUCUAUGGGUCGAUGAUAGGCUUCCUAUCCAGUUUUCUUAUAAACUGGCAAACAAUGUCGUUUAUAGUCAGAUUCCCGAGACUAUAUCGUGCAUGCUCUUUCUGGAAUAAUGGCCAUAACUGGAGAAUCGCUCCUUGCACAUAUCCAUUGGGAUGCGUUUCAAGAGACAAAAGGAUAUCAUCCAAUGACUCCUUAUUCAAGCCAUCCCUAAUGAAUUGAAUCUUAUCUUCCCUGUUAUCAGACACCAUUCCUAAAGAACAUUGGUUUUUUUGCAACUCAUUCUGGCACACUUAUGACAAGCAACAGAAAUUCUUCGAGCUCGUCAUUUUCUUGCAUAAUUUCCUUUACCACAACCAGGCAUGUAUGCAAUAAAUUUUGGAGGUAACUCACCUGCCGAUCGUACUUUAGCCUCAAUUAACCAACGGAUGUCAGCAGGUAUGUUAUUCCUCAUGAGUAAUCGCAUGCGUUCGGACCGAGCUUUAUAGAUCAUAAGGAGGGCAUUCUGAGGAAGUGAAGGGAAUCGCUUGUGAAGCUUCACUAGAAUCUCGUUUAUGUCCAUACUUUCGCCUCAGAAUAUCAGUUAUUAUGAGAAACUGAAGUAACCGACUUGAUUGUCACGGAGUACCGUUAUCCGCCAUUUAACCGGGGUAACAAACUAAAGCACACAAACAGAAAAACAAAUUAAAACACAAAAAAAAAAUUAAAAUCGUCCUCUUAUUGAAUUUACCUCAAGCUCCAACUGGAUGUCGUAAACACUUCUCUCAAUAUCUCUGAGUUGGCUUUCUAGACCCUCAACAUAGGAUACUAACUCUGGUGGUUGUAGAGCCCAAAUGCGAUAUAUUUUACAAAAUUGAAUCUGCCUUUUGAGAUGAGUUUUGACAUGUUGAAGUGGUUUAAGAAUGUUCAGGAGGAACGGUCUAAGUAAGGUACUCAUGAUUAAAAAUGAUAAGAGAAAACUUAAUAGUUAAACAAACAUACUUAUGCAAAAAUAAUUUCAAAUUAGCAAAAGAAUAAUAAAAAGAAAGAAAGAAAAAUCAAAUCAAUGAAAAGGAAAAAAAAAUCAAUUCAAAUCUGGUGGGUAACUCAAAUUUAUUUCGGUGUUUUCUCCAUGUGGUUGGUACUCUAGAUAUGGCUUUAAUCUUUGACCAUUAACUUUAAACGUGACACCGUUCUUUGGGUCCUUAAUUUCAAUUGCCCCAUGUGGAAAAAUAGUAUGUACAAUAAAUGGGCCAGACCAACGAGAGCGUAACUUACCUGGGAAUAGGUGCAAGCGAGAAUUGAAUAAAAGCACUUUCUGACCUGGAGUGAAAGAUUUUCUCAUAAUUUGCUUGUCAUGGAAGACUUUCAUUCGUUGCUUGUAAAUCUUGGCAUUUUCGUAUGCGUCAUUGCGAAUUUCUUUAAGUUCUGCCAGUUGUAAUCUUCUUUCUGAGCUGGCUUGCUGCAUGUCAAAGUUGAAUUUCUUGAUGGCCCAAUAUGCACGAUGCUCGAGUUCCACAGGUAGGUGGCAAGCUUUUCCAUACACUAACCUGUAGGGUGACAUCCCAAUCGGGGUCUUGAAAGCCGUUCUAUAUGCCCAUAAUGCAUCAUCAAGUCUUAAUGACCAAUCUUUUCUGUCUGGCCUCACCGUCUUUUCUAAUAUGUGCUUUAUUUCUCGAUUGGAGAUCUCAACUUGGCCACUGAUUUGCGGAUGAUAUGGGGUCGCCACUUUAUGAGUGAUUGAAUACUUUGUCAAAAGAGCUUUGAAUGCUUUGUUACAAAAGUGGGCACCACUAUCACUGAUUAUUGCUCGAGGGAAUCCAAAGCGUGAGAUAAUAUUACUUUUCAAAAAUCCUAUCACCACCUUGUGAUCAUUGGUUCUGCAUGGAAUUGCUUCUACCCAUUUCGAUACAUAGUCAACAGCAACGAAUAUGUAUUGAUGGCCAAAAGAAAGGGGAAAGGGUCCCAUGAAGUCGAUACCCCAUACAUAAAAAAUCUCAACCACUAAAAUUGGAUUUAGUGGCAUCAUGUUCCUUCGUAUAAUGCUCCCCAUUCGUUGACACAUAUCACAUGAAGAACAAAAAGUGUAAGCAUCUCGAAAUAUAGUUGGCCAAUAAAAACCACAUUGUAAAACUUUAGUUUCUGUUUUCUUAGCACUGAAAUGGCCUCCACAAGCUUGUUCAUGGCAGAAUGAAAGAAUAUUCUGAAUUUCAUUUUCUGGGACACAUCGUCUAACAAUUUGAUCAGCACAAUACUUGAACAAAUACGGGUCAUCCCAAAAGAAAUUCUUUAUCUCUACAAAAAAUUUAGCCUUAUCUUGCUUGGUCCAAUGCUCUGGAAGUUUACCUGUAACAAGAUAAUUAACUAUAUCAGCAUACCAAGGUAAUACUUCCACACUCAUUAAUUGUUCAUCUGGAAAUGACUCAUUUAAUAUUAAUGGCUCUGUAAUUGUGUCAAAAUGGUGACGAGAGAGAUGGUCCGCCACGACAUUUUCUGUCCCUUUCUUAUCUUUGAAUUCCAAGUCAAAUUCCUGCAAAAGUAAUACCCAACGAAUUAGUCUAGCUUUUGCAUGUUUCUUUGUGAGAAGAUAUUUAAGAGCAGCAUGAUAUGUGAAUAUAAUUAUUUUACAACCAAUGAGAUAAGAUCGAAAUUUCUCUAAUAUAAACACUACUGCUAGCAUUUCUUUUUCAGUAGUUGAAUAGUUCAACUAUGCAUCAUUCAAUGUCAUACUAGCAUAGUAAAUAACAUGGGGAAUUCGAUCAACUCUUUGUCCUAAUACUGCUCCUACUGCAUAAUCAGAUGCAUCGCACAUGAGCUCAAAUGGUAAGCUCCAAUUUGGGGGCUGAAUGAUGGGUGAUGAUGUCAACAACUGCUUUAACUUUUCAAAUGCCACAAGACAUGAAUCAUUAAAGACAAAAGGUACAUCCUUAGCAAGUAAAUUGCAUAAGGGUCUAGAAACAUUGCUAAAAUCUUUAAUGAAACGUCUAUAGAAACCAGCAUGCCCAAGGAAAGAUCUUACUUCUUUGACUAUUUUGGGUGAAGGAAGAUUAGAAAUGAGAUCCACCUUGGCUUUGUCAACCUCAAUACCUUUGCUCGAAAUGAUGUGACCGAGAACAAUACCUUGUUUUACCAUAAAAUGGCAUUUCUCCCAAUUUAAAACUAAAUUCUUCUUGAUACAUCUCUGCAGAACUAAUGUUAGAUGAUGUAAACAUUGAUCAAAUGAAUCACCAAAGACAGAAAAGUCAUCCAUAAAGACUUCAAGGAAUUGUUCAACCAUAUCAGAAAAAAUGAUUAACAUGCAUCGUUGAAAUGUAGCAGGUGCAUUACAUAAUCCAAAUGGCAUUCUCCUAUAUGCAAAAGUGCCAAAAGGGCAAGUGAAAGUGGUCUUCUUUUGAUCUUUUGGUGCUAUGGGAAUCUGAUUGUAUCCUGAGUAGCCAUCUAGAAAGCAAUAAAAUUCAUGGCUUGCUAAUCUAUCAAGCAUUUGAUCAAUAAAUGGUAAAGGAAAAUGGUCUUUACGUGUGACAGAAUUCAACUUUCUAUAAUCAAUGCAUACACGCCAUCCUGUAGUCACUCUAGUUGGUAUCAAUUCAUUAUCAGCAUUCGUAACUACUGUGACUCCUGACUUUUUGGGGACAACUUGUACAGGACUGACCCAUGAACUAUCAGAAAUUGGAUAAAUGAUACCUGUAUCUAAUAGCUUAAGGACUUCAGUUCUAACAACUUCUUUCAUAUUAGGAUUUAACCGACAUUGCAUUUCCCUAGUAGAUUUAGCAUUUUCAUCAAGGUGAAUGUAAUGCAUGCAGUCUACUGGGUUUAUACCUUUUAUGUCCGCUAUGGUCCAUCCUAAUACUCCUUUGUGCUCUUUUAAAACAUCCAACAACUUACCUUUUUGUCCGUCAUUUAGGGAUGAUGAGAUGAUUAUCGGUAGAGUACUUUCUUCUCCCAAAAAUGCAUAUUCCAAUGUGUUGGGCAAUGGUUUGAGCUCGAGUUUUGGUGGUGAUUCUGAUGAUGGGAUGAGUUUCUUCUCUGAUGGUGCUAGUUAUUCAACUCUUGACUUCCAUUUAUUAGUGUCCAUGGAUGGUGCUGAGUCAAGUAGGGCGUUGACCUCAUCGACUGAUCUGUCAAUAUCAAAAUCCAAACCAAAGUGAGUUAAACAUGUUUGUAAAGGAUCAUCACUAAGGUUUGAAAGAAAAGUGUCAUCAACUAUUGUUUCUAUUAAAUCCACAUCAACAAUUCCAUCAUCUGCAUUGUGAGGUUGUUUGACAAUGUUGAAGAUGUUCAGCUCCAUAGUCAUGUUGCCGAAGGACAACUGCAUAUUUCAUGUCCUACAUUGAAUGUGAACAUCCGCAGUUGCCAAGAAAGGUCGGCCUAGAAUAAUGGAGAUGUGCUUCCUUGAAUCCUGUAUUGGUUGAGUGUCAAUUACAAUGAAAUCAACAGGAAAAUAAAACUUGUCUACCUGGAUAAGCACGUCCUCCACAAUACCAUGAGGUAUUUUCGUGGACCAAUCUGCAAGCUGUAACACCACUGGAGUUGGGUGUAAUUCUCCCAGUCCAAGUUUCACAAAUACUGAAUAAGGCAACAAAUUUACACUAGCUCCUAAAUCCAACAAAACAUUCUCAAUUGUGUGGUUCCCUAUACUACAUGAGAUAGUGGGGAAGCCUGGGUCUUUGCAUUUUAAAGGAAUUUUAUGUUGGAGUAUAGAACUAAUAUUUUCUGUUAAAAAUGCAUUCUUUUGAACAUGCAUAUUUCUCUUUUUAGUACAAAGGUCUUUAAGAAACUUGGCAUAAGAUGGAACUUGCUUAAUAGCAUCAAGCAAUGGGAUGUUAACACUUACCUGUUUGAAGAUUUCAAGAAUCUCACCUGUGGAUUUUCCCUUAUUUCCUUUAGCUAACCUUUGAGGAAAUGGAGCUUUAGGAAUGUAUUCCCGUGGGUUGGUUUCUUCUUUCUCCUCCGGUGAUGAGUCCUCAACAUUCACAGGUACAAUUUGAUUUUCUCUUGUCACCGGCAUCUCCACUUUGUUGUCGACUUCUUUUCCUUUUCGCAAGGUCAUGACUGCUUUGACUUCUCCAUGCUGCUGUGGUGAGCUGGUACUUGCUUCAUGUACUCCUUUAGGAUUAGGCACUGGUUGACUUGGAAACUUGCCUUUGUCAACAGUCAUUGCCAAGGUCUGAACUGAAGAAGCAAGCUGUCCCACCAUCUUCUCGAGGCUUGAAACUGAUUGGGCUUGUGAAUUGAAGCUUGCUCUCAACUCAUUUCGUAGUCCAUCAAUGGUGCGGUUCUGUUGCUCAAUCGUGGAGUGAGUAACAUUCUUGAAAUUUUGGAAUGCAUCCUCCCAUGAUCUGGGUUGAGAGUAGUUCUGGUUCUGAUUGUAUGGUCUAAAUGGGGGCUGAGAGGCUUGAGGAAUUUGAGGAAUUGGUUGCAUUGGUGGAGCUGGAGCUGCUGGUCCAUUCUGUUGGAGUCCUUGAGACCAUGAAAAAUUGGGGUGGUCUCUCCAUUCAGGGUUAUAUGUGUUGGAGUAUGGGUUGUAAUUUGAUGGCUUUCUCAUUACACCUAUGGCAUUGGCUUGAUCUGAGUAUGAGUCAGGGUCAUGUGGCUCUGUUGAUUUAGCAGUCGAUAACGAUGCUAUUUGUCGAGCAAGACCUUUAACCAUCUCCUUGACUUCUUUGAUUCCCGAAGUUGACUCGCCAAUUUGAACCUCAUUUACUCCCUUAAUUCUUCUAGUAUUCCUGAGUGAUCGACUCCGUUGUUGGGAAUUAUCCGCUUGUCCCUGGAAGAAUUCCCAAAUCUCUGAUGCACUUUUUGACAUUAGCUCUCCUCCACUUGUUGCCAUUAGCCAUUCUUCCACAUUCGGCAAUAAUUCCUCCAAAAAGUAUUGGCAUUGGUGCCAUUUCUCGUACCCAUGAUGUAGACACUUCAAGAGUAGCCCAUUGAAUCGCUCCCAUGUUUCGAAAAAUUGCUCGUCCUCUCUCUGUGUAAACUCUGAAAUUUCCCUGCGAAUAGCAUUGGUUUUAUGCACUAGGAAAUAUUUAUUCAAAAAUUUUGUUACCAUUUGUUCCCAUGAUGAAAUGCUAUUAGCAGGUAAAGUAUUUAACCAUGAACGAGCUCUAUCCUUUAAAGAAAAUGGGAAUAAUCUGAGUUUAACAUCAUCGUCUGAAAAAUUUUCAUAUUUAAAAGUUUGACAAAUGGCAUGAAAAUCAUUCAGAUGAUUAUAUGGGUCCUCAUUUUCUAGGCCAUAGAAUGUUGGGAGACAAUUUAGCACACUAGGUUUUAAUUCAAAACUCCUAGCAGCUACAUUUGGGUAUCUUAUACAUGAUGUGCUCAAAUUAGCUAAGGGACUGAAAUAAUCCUUAAAUGGCCUCUCCUGUGGUGCUUGUAAAUCCAUUCCAAAUUUAUUUUUAAUGUGCUUGUGUGUGCGGAGUGUUUUUUCUAAUUCAAGGUCUAUAGGUUCAAGAUUAGGUAAUAAUGACCUACGACCAUGCAUGCAAAACAAAUAAAAUAAAAAUAAAGAUGGGAACAAAACAAAUAAAAAUAAAUAAGAGGGAGAAAUUACGAUACUAACCUUAUCGCGAUGUUACAACCUUUCUAUAAAAACACACUAAAACAAAUACGUGAAAUAAAUUAACUAAGAAUAAAUUAAUAAGAUAAAAAAAAUUUACAAAGAAAAAUAAAUUGAAAAUUAAAUUACAGAAUUUUAAAGAAGAGAAAAAGAAAAGAAAUAUUAACCUUUAAAUGUAGAUUCACUUUUUUUUUCUUUUUUUUAAUAAAAAAAUUACAAGAAAAUAAUUAAAAGAAAUUAAUCACAAAAAUUAAUUCUAUGAAUUAAAAUUACUUACCUCCCCGGCAACGGCGCCAAAAACUUCUUGUGCAAAUUUUAAUGAACUCGCAAGUGCACGAAUCUAUUGUAGUAUAGAUCAAUGGUGACGAGUGUCGAUCCCACGAGGAGGUAUAUUUUAAUUAUAUGUAGAAUUAAUUUUGUAAAUGGGUGGUUGGAAUUGUGGUAGAAGUGAUUUAAAUUAUCCUAAAAUUGGAAUUGAAAUGGCGAUAAUAAAUUCUAAAAUUAGAAUUGCAAUGGCGAGAAUAAAUUGAAGCGAAAUCUAUUGAAAUGACGUACUUGGGUAUCUGGAUCCGUAUCAACAUGCACCAUGGGCUAAAUAUUCCUUAUUAAUACCAAUUAAAUCAUGAGGGGGGAAUCCACACCUCAUGAACCACACUCUAAUCAAUAUGGUGCUAAGGGCUUAUCGUGCCAAAUAAUAAUAACGUUGUACUAGGGGGCCGGUGAAACCAAGGCGGUACUAGACAAGAUUAGUAUCAUUUGUCGACGAGAAGUCAAAACAUCCACAAAAAUUAGAGGGGAAGAGAAAAUGAAUUUACCAAAUAAAGCCUAUGACACAUGUUGAGACUUCACCUUCAACCCAAGCUUGAAAGAAAAUUAGCUACUCAUAAUUGAACUAGGGGCAAAAUGGAAAUUUAUUAAAAUAUGAAGAAAAUACAAGAUGGAGAAGGAAUUACAGAAAAUGGAUCCCAAAAAUGGAUUCAGAGAUAACAAAUUAGGGGGGGAGGCCCCCUUUUUAUAGAUACAUGGAGUAAAUCAUGGUCAUCGGAUUAAAAACAGUUUGGACGCUCAGGAUUGUGCCACGUCAUCAGUCAACAGUACGCGGUUUGACCACUUGGAUGAACAGUAACACGGUUUGACCCAGGUUGAACAGUAACGCAGUUUGGUUGAAAAUAAUCCUGUGUGAUGCAUGUACCGUACGCGAGAUUUUUUGUCCACUGAUAUGCUGCCACGUCACCAUCAACAGUACAUAAGAAUUUUAGUCCAACAGGAUCAUGAAACCUCAUCAGUCAAUGCCACAUCAUCGGUCAAUGCCACGUCAUCGAUCCGUCUAUGUGAACAGUGUCGUGAACAGUAACUUAUACAGUACCGCACACGUGAAUAGUACCGUACAUGUGAAUAGUGUCAUUUUUCCUUUUAUGCUCCUCCUAAGGUUUUCGACCAUCCUGAGUUCAAAAGUGAUGUCCGUUUUACCGUCUGAUCUCUCCUUUAUUGUGAAAUGACUAUAAUGCCCCUAAAAUACAUAAAUACUUAAUUAAAAUAAAACACAUGUAAUUAAAUUACAAGAAUGUUAAAUACAUAAAAGUAAAGGUUGUUAGUAAGACUUGAAAUGUAAAAUGACGGGUUUCUCCUUUAUAAAUAUGCAUUUUCUAACACUCAACACCUCUUUCGUCCUAGGUUUUCAAUAAUGGGAGCAAUCGCCUCCAUAAAUUACAUAGAAAUAAUUAUUAUUAGCUUUAAUUUAUUUUAAAUAAUAUGAAAAGGAAAAGAAGUUGAUAAAUAUUUUUUAUUUGUGUCUUAUCUAUUCAUGUCACCGUGACAAAUCUUUAGGGAAUCUUUUUAGUCAUUAAUUAAGCUUUGUUCAAUUGCUUCGUUUUUCAGCUCGCUUUGACUAAAUCAAAGGAACUACAUGGUCAUAAAGCACUUAAGUAUAAUAGCUCAAAGAUUAUCUGCUACCCGCAAAGCUAAUUAAAUUAAUAUGACUCUCCAAGUCAACAGGGCGGAUUUUUCUUUUUCUGCUGUGCAUAUAUUUAGCCAUCUCCUUCACCACAGCGAAAGUGUUUUUUUUUUAAUUUUUUAAAAACUUUUUUCCUAGUGAUGAAGGUUGAAAUUAAGUUAUUAAAUAAAAUAGAAGAGCUUAAGGAAAUUAACAAGAAUGUGCUUAAUCGAUCAAGUAGACGGUUAAUUUAUAAAAAAAAAUGCUCUGUGUGAUUAUCUGAAAAUUGCAGAAACGCUAUCAGUUUGUCAUUUCUAUUAACUUUCUUUCUCUGCAGCAAAAUAAUUAAGCAUUGGAAGUAUGCAUAUAAAUAAGGAGGCAGCAAGGUUAUUGGAUUUUUUUAAGGCAAUGAAUGAAGUCAGUCCCUGCACUAACUACUUGGCUGAUGCCUUAGUAAUUAAUUGCUCAACAUUAUGAUGUAGUUACUGGGAAUAAACUGUAUUUCUUUAGUAUUUGUAAGGAAAUAAACUACAACUUCCUUUCUUUAGUAUUUGUAAGGAAAUAAACUACAACUUCCUUGUUCACUAAUUUUUCUUUGAAAUAACUGAGUUUACUUAUAAAUAGUGUAUGAAUAUUUUUUCUUUAGAACAAAAUAGAUUUAUUUAUAUUAACCAUUGUUUCUCUAAUGGUUGGGAAUUGGCAGCUAAUUUUUUCUCCCUUUUCCAUGUAUGCAGAUUUGCUCAAUGUGUUUGAAGUGUUUAUUCCUCAACUUCACUUGUAUCCUAACCCAUACAGUCUAUUGAAUGGAGAAGCUGCUGGUGUGAUAACGCAAUUAUACUACUCAUAUUCAAAGAGUGAAAGACAGUCAUCAUUAUCAAUUUAGCUUCUAGAUUUAUUAAAUUUGGCCACAAGUAGUAGACAUUUGAUUGGAUGGUGAAAUUUUUAUGUAUUGAAUUUAGAUUAUUUAGUUAUGAGAGUAGGAUAUCUCAUUUUUUGGCUAUUGAAGUUGAAUUUGUAAUAUAUACUAAUAAUAUUUAAAUGUGAAAUGAAAGAUUUUGUGAUAUAAAUCAAUUUCUUUUUGUUAUUUUGUGGUGCUUUUAAUUUUACCAAUAAAUCAAUAGGCAAUGAUCCAAUUCAAUUUUUUAAAAAAAAUAAAUUAACUAGUGAUACCAUAGUAACAAUAAUUAUAGACACAAAAAAAAUAUCAAUAAUUACUAACACUAUGCUAUCAUAAUAUUGGUGAUAUUGUAGUAAUAGUAAUCACUGACACCACUUACAAGUGUCACUAUUUUUCUGACUCCCAGAUUACUGACACAAUUAACAAGUGUCAGUGAAAGUAAUUUCUGACACUAUUCUAAAGUCAGUAAAGACUGUUUUUCUAGUAAUGAGGUCUCACGUAUCGUUUUAUUUUUUUUCUGACAACCGAUCAUCAGAGAGAGAGCAGAGAACAUUAAAGGAUUUUUUAAGAGAAUAUGUUGAUCUGGAAGGCUAACCACACUAUUCUAAAAAGCAAUUAAGCAUUAUGGAUCCAGAUAUACUUCUACAUAUCAUAUUAUUGAUUCUUGUUGAUAUAACAUUAAUGUUCCUAGACUAUAGGUAAUCAUUUUAAGUAUAGGAUUAUUAUCGUUCUAAUAUUUUCUUGUGAAGAGCUUUACUGGGUAUUCUUCCAACAUCUUAUAAUUUAUUUAAAAGGAAGGUAAUGCAAUCUCAUAUUUGUCAAAGGUCCAAUAGAGUGUAGGAGGAUAGCUUCCAUGCUUUAGUGGCAUGUAGAGUUGUUAAGAAGGUAUGGCGAUUAUCAAUCUUGGCAAAUUUUGCGAUUAGUUUUGAAAGCACCAAUUUCUCAUGCUUUGCUCAAUCAUUGGCUGAUUAAAUGUCUAAGGAGAAUUUUGAGUCUUUUGUGGUCUUGCCUUGCUCAAUUUGGAGGGACAAAAACUUGAUUCUUCACAAUGAUGUGGGAAAUGACAUUUUGAGCUUGAUAAUCAGAGCUGAAUCUAUUAUUGAGAACUAUAAGUUAGUGCAACAAUCUCUAGCGACCGUGCCUUCUAUGAAUUAGAAUUAUAAGGAAGAAAAAUAGGUUGCUCCACCAAAUAAUCGGUAGAAACUUAAUACUGAUGCAGCUAUUAAAUCUUUAGAAAGUAUUUCUAGCCUUGGUACUAUUAUUAAAAACUCAAGAGGAGAAGUUAUGGUAGCAUCAGUCAAUAUAAAGUCCUUUUUUUGUAGGGAUGUGGAAUUUGCAAAAGCUUAUGCAGUUGUUCAGGGGGUUAAGCUAGCAAUUGACUUAGGUUUAACUCCCUUGAUUGUUAAACUUGAUUCAGUAAAUGUUGUUACUUUGAUUAAUGGAAGUUUGUCUAGCAAAAAAAAAGAGAUUGGCUGGCUAGUAUGGGAGAUCAAAGGUCUUAUAAUUAAUAGAGCUGCCAUUAAAGUUAAAUUGGUUGGCUAUUAUAGGAGAUCAAGGGUCCUAUAUAGAGCUUCCAUUAUAGUUAAACAUGCACCUAGAUGUUAUAAUGAGGUGGCUCACAUUUUAAGCAAAUUGGAAUUUUCUUUUCCAAAGUUAGCAUAUUAGAAUAGAAGAUUGUCUUGUUGAAAUUGUCAGUCUCUUGUGAUGUUUUGUUAUUCAACAUGUAGUCAGCUUUUCAAAAAGCAAAAAAAUGGCAGUACAAAUAAAGUCCACAUAGUACAUGUUGCUUAAUGCGCACUAAUUCUACAAUCUUGAUUAUGAGUAAUUUAUCUGUCACCAUUUGCAAUAUGGCCAUCAAAACCCAUUUAUAAAUCGAGGCCAGUAAUAGAUUGUCAUCACAACUGGGGAGAAAGCUACGAUUCAUCCAAAUGGAUCCAACGGCUGGAUGCAACGGUGAUACCGUAUCACCGUUGCACUGUAGUCGGACCCCACAACUGGACCCAUGAUGAUGAUAACAAUAAAUAAUAAAUAAUUUUUAAUUUUUUUGUUAUUUAAUAGGUUAGCUUUUAGGUCAAAAUGAUGGAAGGCGCCCAUUGGGUACCGUAUUCAGGGGUGGGUAAAUUAUUUGACCUGACUUAAAAUAUUUCGGGUUUAGAUCGGAUCGAAUUGUAAAAAAAAUCCGAUCGGAUGAAAACGGUAAAACCCGAUCAGGUUCUUUAAAAAAAAAAAUAAACACAUACACGCACGCCAGACAGAGUCACACAAAAUACAAAUCACACUUACAAAUUCAUUUACAAUACACACACAACACAAAUCUCACACACAACACAAAUCACACUCACAGAUUCAUUUACAAUCCACACACAAACACAAGUCAGUGAAAUCACAGUGAUUCAUUUACAAAUCACACAAAAUACAAAUCACACUUACAAAUUCAUUUACUUGAGAUCGUAUUAUUUCUAAGCUGAGGGCAUAUUUAUUUCAUCUUGGUGAGAGCAUGUGAUAUCAUUUCUUUAUUAUUUUCUCUCUCAAUUACCAUUCAUUGGAGUGACUGUGUUUAUUGGGUUUUGAUUUCUUUGUGAGAGUGUCACUACUUCCAGUGAGAUUUUGGGGUUUGACAUGUCAUUCUUGAAAGUAGCUAUAACAAAGUCUACUAGGCCGAUUCAUGUGGAUGGUUGAUGUGGGUGUGAUAUUGCUUUAGACUGGAGAUAAUGCUUAUACUUUUAUUUGAUUGCUAUCAUUAAUCUGAUUGAAUAAACACGAGUGUUUCUAAAAAUAUAUAUAUAUAUAUAUAUAUAUAUUGAAUUUGAAUUUUGUUUUCGCUUUAUUUGCUAGGGACUAGCAAUAAGCUGGUUGGGGGGUGUGUUGAGUGUUAGAAAAUACAUAUUUAUAAAAGGAGAAAACCGUCAUUUUACAUUUCAAGUCUUACUAACAACCCUUACUUUUAUGUAUUUAACCUUCUUGUGAUGUAAUUACGUGUGUGUUAUUUUAAUUAAGUAUUUUAUGUAUUUGAGGGGCAUUAUAGUCAUUUCACAAUAAAAGAGAAAUCAUACGGCAAAACGGACAUCACUUUUGAACUCAGGACGGUCAAAAACCUUAGGAGGAGCAUAAAAGGAAAAAUGGCACUAUUCACAUGUACGGUACUAUUCACGUAUACGGUACUGUCUACGUUACUGUUCACGACACUGUUCACAUAGACGGAUCGACGACGUGGCAUUGACCGAUGAUGUGGCAUUGACUGAUGGGUGUCAUGAUCCUGUUGGACUAAAAUUCUUAUGUACUGUUGACGGUGACGUGGCAGCAUAUCAGUGAACGAAAAAUCUCGCGUACGGUGCAUGCAUCACACAGGAUUAUUUUCAACCCAACCGUGUUACUGUUCAUCUGGGUCAAACCGUGUUACUGUUCAUCCACGUGGUCAAACCGUAGACUGUUGACUGAUGACGUGGCGCAAUCCUGAGCGUCCAAACUGUUUUUAAUCCGAUGGCCAUGAUUUACUCCAUGUAUCUAUAAAAAGGGGGCCUCCCCCCCCCCCUAAUUUGAUAUCUCUUAAUCCAUUUUUGGGAUCCAUUUUCUGUAAUUCCCUCUCCAUCUUGUAUUUUCUUUGUAUUUUAAUAAAUUCCCAUUUUGCCCCUAGUUCAAUUAUGAGUAACUAAUUUUCUUUCAAGCUUGGGUUGAAGGUGAAGUCUCAACAUGUGUCAUGGGCUUAAUUUGGUAAAUUUAUUUUCUCUUCCCCUCUAGUUUUUGUGGAUGUUUUGACUUCUCGUCGACAAAUAAUAAUAAUCUUGUCUAGAUACCGCCUUGGUUACACCGGCUCUCUAGUAUAAGGUUAUUAUUAUUUGGCACGAUAAGCCCUUAGCACCAUAUUGAUUAGAGCGUGGUUCAUGAGGUGUGGAUUCCCCCCUCAUGAUUUAAUUGGCAUUAAUACAGAUUAUUUAGCCCAUGAUGCAUGUUGAUACGGAUCCAGAUACCCAAGUACGUCAAUUUAAUCGAUUUUCUCUACAAUUUAUUCUCGCCAUUGCAAUUCCAAUUUUAGCAUAUUUAUUAUCGUCAUUUCAAUUCCAAUUUUAGCAUAUUUUAAAUCACUUCCACCACAAUUCCAACCACCCAUUUACAGAAUUAAUUCUACACACAAUUAAAAAUCCAUCUCCUCGUGGGAUCGACACUCGUCACCAUUGAUCUAUACUACAAUAGAUUCGUGCACUUGCGAGUACAUUAAAAUUUGCACAACAAGUUUUUGGCGCCGUUGCCGGGGAGGUAAGUAAUUUUAAUUCAUAGAUUUAAUUUUUGUGAAUAAUUUCAUUUAAUUGUUUUCUUGUAUUUUUUUUUUUUUGUUCUUUAAAAAAAAAAAAAAGUAAAUCUACAUUUAAAGGUUAGUAUUUCUUUUCUUUUUCUCUUCUUUAAAAUUCUGUAAUUUAUUUUUCAAUUUAUUUUUUUCUUUGUAAUUUUUGUUUAUCUUACUAAUUUUUUUUAGUUAAUUUAUUUCAUGUAUUUUUUGUUUUUGUGUGUAUUUUUAUAGUAAGGUUGUAAUAGCGCAAUAAGGUUAGUAUUGUAAUUUCUCUCUCUUCUUUAUUUUUAUUUGUUUUGUUCCAUCUUUAUUUUUAUUUUAUUUAUUUUGCAUGCAUGGUCGUAGGUCAUUAUUAUCUAAUCUUGAACCUAUAGACCUUGAACUUGAGAAAACACUUCGCACACAAAAGCACAAUAAAAAUAAAGUUGGAAUGGAUUUACAAGCACCACAGGAGAGGCCAUUUAAGGACUAUUUUAGUCCCUUAGCUAAUUUGAGCACAUCAUGUAUUAGAUACCCAAAUGUAGCUGCUAGGAGUUUUGAAUUAAAACCUAGUGUGCUAAAUUGUCUCCCCACAUUCUAUGGCUUAGAAAAUGAGGACCCAUAUAAUCAUCUGAAUGAUUUUCAUGCAAUUUGUCAAACUUUUAAAUAUGAAAAUUUUUCAGACGAUGAUGUUAAACUUAGAUUAUUCCCAUUUUCUUUAAAGGAUAGAGCUCGUCCAUGGUUAAAUACUUUGCCUGCUAAUAGCAUUGCAUCAUGGGAACAAAUGGUUACAAAAUUUCUAAAUAAAUAUUUCCCAGUGCAUAAAACCAAUUCUAUUCGCAGGGAAAUUUCAGAGUUUACACAAAGAGAGGACGAGCAGUUUUUCGAAACUUGGGAGCGAUUCAAUGGGCUACUCUUGAAGUGUCCACAUCAUGGGUAUGAGAAAUGGCACCAAUGCCAAUACUUUUUGGAGGGAUUAUUGCCGAAUGUGCAAGAAUGGCUAAUGGCAACAAGUGGAGGAGAGCUAAUGUCAAAAAGUGCAUCAGAAAUUUGGGAAUUCUUCCAGCGACAAGCGGAUAAUUCCCAACAACGGAGUCGAUCACUCAGGAAUACUAGAAGAAUUAAGGGAGUAAAUUAGGUUCAAAUUGGCGAGUCAACUUCGGGAAUCAAAGAAGUCAAGGAGAUGGUUGAAGGUCUCGCUCGACAAAUAGCAUCGUUAUCGACUGCUAAAUCAACAGAACCACAUGACCAUGACUCAUACUCCGAUCAAGCCAAUGCCAUAGGUGUAAUGAGAAAACCAUCGAAUUACAACCCAUACUCCAACACAUAUAACCCUGGAUGGAGAGACCACCCUAAUUUUUCAUGGUCUCAAGGAUUCCAACAGAAUGGACCAGCAGCUCCAGCUCCACCAAUGCAACCAAUUCCUCAAAAUCCUCAAGCCUUUCAGCCCCCAUUUAGACCAUACAAUCAGAACUAGAAUUACUCUCAACCCAGACCAUGGGAGGAUUCAUUCCAGAAUCUCAAGAAUCUUACUCACUCCACAAUUGAGCAACAGAACCGCACCAUUGAUGGACUACGAAAUGAGUUGAGAGCAGGCUUCAACUCACAAGCUCAAUCAGUUUCAAGCCUGGAGAAAAUGGUGGGACAACUCACUUCUUCAGUUCAGACCUUGGCAAUGACUGUUGAGAAAGGCAAGUUUCCAAGUCAACCAGUGCCUAAUCCUAAAGGAGUGCAUGAAGCAAGUACCAGUUCACCACAGCAGCAUGGAGAGGUCAAAGCAGUCAUGACCUUGCGAAAAGGAAAAGAAGUCGACAACAAAGUAGAGAUGCCGGUGACCAAAGAAAAUCAAAUUGUACCUGUGAAUGUUGAGGACUCACCACCGGAGGAAAAAGAAGAAACCAACCCACGAGAGUACAUUCCCAAGGCUCCAUUUCCUCAGAGGUUAGCUAAAGGAAAAAAGGGAAAAUCCACAGGUGAGAUUCUCGAAAUCUUCAAACAGGUAAGUGUCAAUAUCCCUUUGCUUGAUGCUAUAAAACAAAUUCCAUCUUAUGCCAAGUUUCUUAAAGACCUUUGUACUAAAAAGAGAAAUAUGCAUGUUCAAAAGAAGGCUUUUUUAACAGAAAACGUUAGUUCUAUACUCCAACAUAAAAUUCCUUUAAAAUGCAAAGACCCAGGCUCCCCCACUAUCUCAUGUAGUAUAGGGAACCACACAAUUGAGAAUGCUUUGUUGGAUUUAGGAGCUAGUGUAAAUCUUUUGCCUUACUCUGUAUUCGUGAAACUUGGACUGGGAGAAUUACACCCAACUCCAGUGGUGUUACAGCUUGCAGAUCGGUCCACGAAAAUACCUCGUGGUAUUGUGGAGGACGUGCUUAUUCAGGUAGACAAGUUUUAUUUUCCUGUUGAUUUCAUUAUAAUUGACACUCAACCAAUACAGGACUCAAGGAAGCACAUCCCCAUUAUUCUAGGCCGACCUUUCUUGGCAACUGCAGAUGCUCAUAUUCAAUGUAGGACCGGAAAUAUGCAAUUGUCAUUCGGCAACAUGACUAUGGAGCUAAAUAUUUUCAACAUUGCCAAACAACCUCACAGUGCAGAUGAUGGAAUUGUUGAUGUGGAUUUAAUAGAAACAAUAGUUGAUAAUACUUUUCUUUCAAACCUUAAUGAUGACCCUUUACAGACAUGCUUAACUCACUUUGGUUUGGAUUUUGAUAUUGACAGAUCGGUUGAUGAGGUCAACGCUCUACUUGACUCAGCACCAUCCAUGGACACUAAUAAAUGGAAGUCAAGAGUUGAACAACUAGCACCAUCAGAGAAGAAACUCAUUCCAUCAUCAGAAUCACCACCGAAACUCGAGCUCAAACCAUUACCCAACACAUUGGAAUAUGCAUUUUUGGGGGAAGAAAGUACUCUGCCGGUAAUCAUCUCAUCAUCCCUUAAUGACGAAUAAAAAGGUAAGUUGUUGGAUGUUUUGAAAGAGCACAAAGGGGCAUUAGGAUGGACCAUAGCAGACAUAAAAGGUAUAAACUCUGCAGAUUGCAUGCAUUACAUUCACCUUGAUGAAAAUGCUAAAUCUACUAGGGAAAUGCAACGUCGGUUAAAUCCUAAUAUGAAAGAAGUUGUUAGAACAGAAGUCCUUAAGCUAUUAGACGCAUGUAUCAUUUACCCAAUUUCUGAUAGUUCAUGGGUCAGUCCUGUACAAGUUGUCCCCAAAAAGUCAGGAGUCACAGUAGUUACCAAUGCUGAUAAUGAAUUGAUACCAACUAGAGUAACUACAUGAUGGCGUGUAUGCAUUGAUUAUAGAAAGUUGAAUUCUGUCACACGUAAAGACCAUUUUCCUUUACCAUUUAUUGAUCAAAUGCUUGAUAGAUUAGCAGGCCAUGAAUUUUAUUGCUUUCUAGAUGGCUAUUCAGGAUAUAAUCAGAUUCCCAUAGCACCAAAAGAUCAAGAGAAAACUACUUUCACUUGCCCUUUUGGCACAUUUACAUAUAGGAGAAUGUCAUUUGGAUUAUGUAAUGCACCUGCUACAUUUCAACGAUGCAUGUUAAGCAUUUUUUCUGAUAUGGUUAAACGAUUCCUUGAAGUCUUCAUGGAUGACUUUUCUGUCUUUUUGAUUCGUUUGAUCAAUGUUUACAUCAUCUAACGCUAGUUCUGCAGAGAUGUACCGAGAAGAACUUAGUCUUGAAUUGGGAGAAGUGCCAUUUUAUGGUAAAACAAGGUAUUGUUCUCAGUCACAUCAUUUCGAGCAAAGGUAUUGAGGUUGACAAAGCCAAGGUGGAUCUCAUUUCUAAUCUUCCUCCACCUAAAACAGUUAGAGAAGUAAGAUCUUUCAUUGGGCAUGUUGGUUUCUAUAGACGUUUCAUUAAAAAUUUUAGCAAAGUUUCUAGACCCUUAUGCAAUUUACUUGCUAAGGAUGUACCUUUUAUCUUUAAUGAUUCAUGUCUUAUGGCUUUUGAAAAAUUAAAACAAUUGUUGACAUCACCACCCAUCAUUCAGGCCCCAAACUGGAGCUUACCAUUUGAGCUCAUAUGUGAUGCAUCUGAUUAUGCAGUAGGAGCAGUAUUAGGACAAAGAGUUGAUCGAAUUCCCCAUGUUAUUUACUAUGCUAGUAUGACAUUGAAUGAUGCACAGUUGAACUAUUCAACUACUGAAAAAGAAAUGCUAGCAGUAGUGUUUGCAUUGGAAAAAUUUCGAUCUUAUCUCAUUGGUUGUAAAAUAAUUAUAUUCACAGAUCAUGCUGCUCUUAAAUAUCUUCUCACAAAGAAAGAUGCAAAAGCUAGACUAAUUCGUUGGGUGUUACUUUUGCAGGAAUUCGACUUGGAAUUCAAGGAUAAGAAAGGCACAGAAAAUGUUGUGGCGGACCACCUCUCUCGUCUCCAUUUUGACACAAUUACAGAGCCAUUAAUAUUAAAUGAGUCAUUUCCAGAUGAACAAUUAAUGAGUGUGGAAGUAUUACCUUAGUAUGCUGAUAUAGUUAAUUAUCUUGUUACAGGUAAAUUUCCAGAGCAUUGGACCAAGCAAGACAAGGCUAAAUUCUUUGCGGAAAUAAAGAAUUUCUUUUGGGAUGACCCAUAUUUGUUCAAGUAUUGUGCAGACCAAAUUGUUAGACGAUGUGUCCCUGAAAGUGAAAUUCAGAAUAUCCUUUCAUUCUGCCAUGAACAAGCUUGUGGAGGCCAUUUCAGUGCUAAGAAAACAGCGACUAAAGUUUUACAAUGUGGUUUCUAUUGGCCAAUUAUAUUUCGAGAUGCUUACACUUUCUGUUCUUCAUGUGAUAGGUGUCAACGAAUGGGGAGUAUUAAACGAAGGAACAUGAUGCCACUAAAUCCAAUUUUAGUGGUUGAGAUUUUUGACGUAUGGGGUAUCGACUUCAUGGGACCCUUUCCCUCUUCUUUUGGCCAUCAAUACAUAUUGGUUGGUGUUGACUACGUUUCAAAAUGGGUAGAAGCAAUUCCAUGUAGAACCAAUGAUCACAAAGUGGUGAUAGGAUUUUUGAAAAGCAACAUUGUCUCACGCUUUGGAUUCCCUCGAGCAAUAAUCAAUGAUGGUGGUGCCCACUUUUGUAACAAAGCAUUCAAAGCUCUUUUGACAAAGUAUUCAAUCACCCACAAAGUGGCGACCCCUUAUCAUCCGCAAACCAGUGGCCAAGUUGAGAUCUCCAAUCGAGAAAUAAAGCACAUAUUAGAAAAAACGGUGAGGCCAGACAGAAAAGAUUGGUCAUUAAGACUUGAUGAUGCAUUAUGGGCAUAUAGAACGGCUUUCAAGACCCCGAUUGGGAUGUCACCCUAUAGGCUAGUGUAUGGAAAGCUUGCCACCUACCUGUGGAACUCGAGCAUCGUGCAUAUUGGGCCAUCAAGAAAUUCAACUUUGACAUGCAGCAAGCCAGCUCAGAAAGAAGAUUACAACUGGUAGAACUUGAAGAAAUUCGCAAUGAUGCAUACGAAAAUGCCAAGAUUUACAAGCAACGAAUGAAAGUCUUUCAUGACAAGCACAUUAUGAGAAAAUUGUUCACUCCAGGUCAGAAAGUGCUUUUAUUCCAUUCUCGUUUGCACUUAUUCCCAGGUAAGUUACGCUCUCGAUGGUCUGGUUCCUUUAUUGUUCAUACUGUUUUUCCACAUGGGGCAAUUGAAAUUAAGAACCCAAAGAACGGUGUCACGUUUAAAGUUAAUGGUCAAAGAUUAAAGCCAUAUCUAGAAUACCAACCACAUGGAGAAGACACCGAAAUAAAUUUGAGUGACCCACCAGAUUUGAAUUGAUUUGUUUUUUUCUUUUCGUUGAUUUGAUUUUUCUUUCUUUCUUUUUAUUAUUCUUUUGCUAAUUGAAAUUAUUUUUGCAUAAGUGUGUUUGUCUAACUAUUAAGUUUUCUCUUAUCAUUUUUAAUCAUGAGUACCUUACUUAGACCGUUCCUCCUGAACAUUCUUAAACCACUUCAACGUGUCAAAACUCAUCUCAAAAGGCAGAUUCAAUUUUGUAAAACACAUCGCAUUUGGGCUCUACAACCACCAGAGUUAGUAGCCUAUGUUGAGGGUUUAGAACGCCAACUCAGAGAUAUUGAGAGAAGUGUUUACGACAUCCAGUUGGAACUUGAGGUAAAUUCAAUAAGAGGACGAUUUUAAUUUUCUUUGUGUGUUUUGAUUUAUUUUUCUGUUUGUGUGAUUUAGUUUGUUACCCUGGUGAAGUGGCGGAUAACGGUACUCCGUGACAAUCAAGUCGGAUACUUCAGUUUCCCAUAAUAACUGACAUUCUGAGGUGAAAGUAUGGACAGAAACGAGAUUCUAGCGAAGCUUCACAAGCGAUUCCCUUCACUUCCUCAGAAUGCCCUCUUUACGAUCUAUAAAGCUCGGUCUGAAUGCAUGCGAUUACUCAUGAAGAAUAACAUACCUGCUGACAUCUGUUGGUUAAUCGAGGCUAAAGUACGAUCGGCAGGUGAGUUACCUCCAAAAUUUAUUGCAUUCAUGCCUGGUUGUGGUAAAGGAAAUUAUGCAAGAAAACGACGAGCUCGAAGAAUUUCUGUUGCUUGUCAUAAGUGUGCCAGAAUGAGUUGCGAUAGAAACCCAUGUUCUUUAGGAAUGGUGUCUGAUAACAGGGAAGAUAAGAUUCAAUUCAUUAGGGAUGGCUUGAAUAAGGAGUCAUUGGAUGAUAUUCUUUUGUCUCUUGAAACGCAUCCCAGUGGAUAUGUGCAAGGAGCGAUUCUCCAGUUGUGGCCAUUAUUCCAGGAAGAGCAUGCACGAUAUAGUCUCGGGAAUCUGACUAUAAACGACCAUGUUUGCCAGUUUAUAAGAAAACUGGAUAGGAAGCCUAUCCUCGACCCAUAGAGGGCGUUCAAGCCGUUUCUGGACGUAAAACUAGAGGAAGAUGUGAGCCACAGUCGCAAUUACGUGUAAAUAUCAUUUUACUUUACUGUUAUUUUAUUUCAUUUCACUGUUGUUUUAUUGUUUGCAUUAUUGUAUUUAAUAAUUUUAUUACUGUUUGCUUUUUCCUUUUUACUGUUUCCUUUUUGACUCGCAAGCCAUGUGCUUCACGCGUUAUUUCACACUGACAUCUUACCUCAUUCACAGCUGUGACCCACUAUCACCAAGAUUCUUAAAUGUGAUUUAUCUUUUGUCAAGCACUCACAAAUUGUUUUUGAGAAGUAUCACAAUGGCAGCUACUCCCAAUAGACAAUUCAAAAACAUUUGUGUGCUUUCUGGAUUUACCUAUGGCAAACAUAAAGAGUUCGUGGAGGCAGCCAUAGAUCUUGGUCGAAGCAUAGCAGCGAGAAAAUUACAUUUGGUGUAUGGAGGAGGUAACCGAGGGUUAUCAAAAAUGGUCUCGGAAGCAGCUUUUAUCAGAGGAAGUCAAGUGUUAAGCAUCAUCCCAAGAGUCCUAAAACCAUUGGGCAGUUCGUCUGACUCAUCAACUGGAGAAGAGUUAGUCGUCUCAGGUAUGCAAGAAAGAAUAACUGAAAUGCUUAAUCAUGCUGAUGCUUUUAUUUUCCUUCCAGGAGAUCUUGCAACACUAGAGGCACUUAUGACACUAGCAUCUUGGGCCCAUCUACACAUUCACCAGAAACCCAUCGGUUUGUUAAAUGUCAAUAACUUUUAUGAUGGCUUUAUCGCAUUUCUUAACCAUGCAAUAAAAAACUAUUUCAUUCCUUCUAAUGUGAAAAAACUCUUUAUUUGUGCUCACACUGCUAAUGAGCUACUUGAUAUGUUACAAGCUUAUAAACCGAAGCCAGACCCCUGGACCUUUGUGUUGGAGCGACCAAAUAAUGAUGGUAACAGUAGCCGCAGUAAGAAGUACAAAUUAGAUUUAACUCUCCGCCUGUAAAUAUUUUCUUCUGUGUUGCACCACCCAGGUGAUGUCUUCUAAACUCUACUUCUUUCCUUUAAAACAUUGAGGACAAUGUUUCGUUCUAGUUGGGGGGAGAGAAUAGUCGACAAUUGUGGAAUCUUAGUUAAGUUUUUACUGAUUUUUUGUUGUAGAAACUAACUGUUGCUAACGUUUUGUGUUGAAGAUGGCUGAAUAUGGAGUGUAGUGACUCUAGAAACGUAUCUUCAUCGUUUUAAAAAAAAAUUAAAAAAAAAAAUUCAAACAUUUUCUUUUUCUUUAUUAUGUGUUUAUGUUUAUUUUUCUUCUUUUUAAUUUCUCCUCUAUAAAUAUACAUUUUCCAACUUUUGAGUCGAAGAUGGCUGAAUAUGGAGUGUAGUUCCUCUAGAAACGCAUCUUCUUAAAAAAAAAAAAAAUCAUUUUCGUUUUCUAUCAUUUUACGUGUAACUUUUCUAAUUAGUUUUUAUGCAUCAUUUUCACAUUUCUGCAUGCAUAUUUUCAUUUCAUGUUUAGAAUAGGUUGGGGGAUAGAAUGUUGUUUAAAAAAAAAAAAAAUUGUGUUAUUUGUUUUAACAUUGGAUGACAUGAUUAAUUUCAAAUUUUAGUAUUUGUAUUAUCUUUGGUCUUAAGUGAUGUUACGCUAUGUUUGCUACUUUACAUGUUGAUGUCGGAGACAAAUAUGAGUUGCUUGAAGGAAUGAACAUGUCAUAAAUAAGUGCCAAGUGAGUUGUUGAGCCUAUCAUUUUCUUGGAGAGUAACCCUUUUGCCCAUUCUCUAUACAGCUUAGUAGUUUAUUAUUUUAUACACGAUCUCUAGAUUUCUUUUGAGUUAACCCUUUAAAAAAAAUGGUAAAAUUAAAAAAAAAAAUGUGUGUUGCUACAUUGGGAGGCCCAUCUAACCAGUAGAUAUGGAUAAUUAUUUAGAGCCCUAAAAGACGAUGGAAAGGCCAUCUUUGAUCCGUUUGAGCCUUUCUAGCCAUCCCUUUUAUUAAAUAUCCAUAGUUACCCCUUUUGAGCCUUUAAAAAAAAAAAAAAAAAACAUUUUCUUUGUCAACUUAUCAUCUUGACCCACUCCGAUUUGGAGUAUUACCCGAUGUCUUAUAAGUUCCAUCACCUAUUUAUGUUUGAGAAAAUGUAAAUAAUUAUGUUGUUCAGUGAAGUUAUGCCAAAUAAAAGCCAAAAAAAAAAACAAAAAAAACAAAAAAACAAAAGUUGUUGUUUCAAAAGAAUAAAAUAACAAUAAUAGGUGAAAUCCACCUUGCAACUUCAAAAAAAAAAAAUAUAUAUUUCUGCUUUUUUCUCAAACAUACACUUUGUUUCCUUAUUUCCUUUCUUUGUUAGCCAUAUCCCUAGCCUACGUUACGUCCUAAUAAAAGUCCUUCUUGAUUUUAGGGAACUAUAGUUUGAAGUAGAAGCUAGUUAUAUGGGCUAAAAAGAUGUAGUGAUGCAUAAUAAAAAAAGAAAAAAGAUAAAUAAAGUGGGUUGACUAACAUUUUAUUUGACUUGAGAUCGUAUUAUUUCUAAGCUGAGGGCAUAUUUAUUUCAUCUUGGUGAGAGCAUGUGAUAUCAUUUCUUUAUUAUUUUCUCUCUCAAUUACCAUUCAUUGGAGUGACUAUGUUUAUUGGGUUUUGAUUUCUUUGUGAGAGUGUCACUACUUCCAGUGAGAUUUUGGGGUUUGACAUGUCAUUCUUGAAAGUAGCUAUAACAAAGUCUACUGGGCCGAUUCAUGUGGAUGGUUGAUGUGGGUGUGAUAUUGCUUUAGACUGGAGAUAAUGCUUAUACUUUUAUUUGAUUGCUAUCAUUAAUCUGAUUGAAUAAACACGAGUGUUUCUAAAAAUAUAUAUAUAUAUAUAUUUUGAAUUUGAAUUUUGUUUUCGCUUUAUUUGCUAGGGACUAGCAAUAAGCUGGUUGGGGGGUGUGUUGAGUGUUAGAAAAUACAUAUUUAUAAAAGGAGAAAACCGUCAUUUUACAUUUCAAGUCUUACUAACAGCCCUUACUUUUAUAUAUUUAACCUUCUUGUGAUGUAAUUACGUGUGUGUUAUUUUAAUUAAGUAUUUUAUGUAUUUGAGGGGCAUUAUAGUCAUUUCACAAUAAAGGAGAAAUCAUACGGCAAAACGGACAUCACUUUUGAACUCAGGACGGUCGAAAACCUUAGGAGGAGCAUAAAAGGAAAAAUGGCACUAUUCACAUGUACGGUACUAUUCACGUAUACGGUACUGUCUACGUUACUGUUCACGACACUGUUCACAUACACGGAUCGAUGACGUGGCAUUGACCGAUGAUGUGGCAUUGACUGAUGAGGUGUCACGAUCCUGUUGGACUAAAAUUCUUAUGUACUGUUGACGGUGACGUGGCAGCAUAUCAGUGGACGAAAAAUCUCGCGUACGGUGCAUGCAUCACACAGGAUUAUUUUCAACCCAACCGUGUUACUGUUCAUCCAGGUCAAACCAUGUUACUGUUCAUCCACGUGGUCAAACCGUGGACUGUUGACUGAUGACGUGGCGCAAUCCUGAGCGUCCAAACUAUUUUUAAUCCGAUGGCCAUGAUUUACUCCAUGUAUCUAUAAAAAGGGGGCCUCCCCCCCCCCUAAUUUGAUAUCUCUUAAUCCAUUUUUGGGAUCCAUUUUCUGUAAUUCCCUCUCCAUCUUGUAUUUUCUUUGUAUUUUAAUAAAUUCCCAUUUUGCCCCUAGUUCAAUUAUGAGUAACUAAUUUUCUUUCAAGCUUGGGUUGAAGGUGAAGUCUCAACAUGUGUCAUGGGCUUAAUUUGGUAAAUUUAUUUUCUCUUCCCCUCUAGUUUUUGUGGAUGUUUUGACUUCUCGUCGACAAAUAAUAAUAAUCUUGUCUAGAUACCGCCUUGGUUACACCGGCUCUCUAGUAUAAGGUUAUUAUUAUUUGGCACGAUAAGCCCUUAGCACCAUAUUGAUUAGAGCGUGGUUCAUGAGGUGUGGAUUCCCCCCUCAUGAUUUAAUUGGCAUUAAUACGGAUUAUUUAGCCCAUGAUGCAUGUUGAUACGGAUCCAGAUACCCAAGUACGUCAAUUUAAUCGAUUUUCUCUACAAUUUAUUCUCGCCAUUGCAAUUCCAAUUUUAGCAUAUUUAUUAUCGUCAUUUCAAUUCCAAUUUUAGCAUAUUUUAAAUCACUUCCACCACAAUUCCAACCACCCAUUUACAUAAUUAAUUCUACACACAAUUAAAAAUCCACCUCCUCGUGGGAUCGACACUCAUCACCAUUGAUCUAUACUACAAUAGAUUCGUGCACUUGCGAGUACAUUAAAAUUUGCACAACAAUGACUCUAAUCCAACGAUUGGGAUUUUAAAACUGAACAAUGAUGUGAAGUGGGCAAUUGUACAAUGACGUGAAGUGGGCAACUGUCCAAACCCGUUUCAGCUACCAAAUUAGUUUUAGGGUUUUAUAAACCCUUGCUCGUAUUUCAACAAACGUCAGUGAAAUUUUUCAAGCAGUAAUAUUUUCUUAAUUCUGGAUAACUGUAACUGAAGCAGUGAUGCCGCGAAUUUUUAAAGUGGAUUAUGGUGACUUGUAGUUUGUUGCGGUAGUAUUGAAUGAAACGAAAGGGAUUGCGUAUACUAAAACUUAAGGUAAGUGUAUUUUUAAUAUGAGAUUUUUUAUGUGAAUCAUUUUUUUAUCAUAAUAUAGUUGGUAGGAAACUAGAUUUCAUACUGAUAAUGGAAAAAUUGGGGAGCAAAAAUUUUUUUUAAAAUAAAUUUAUGGAUAUUUUCUCAACAAUAUAGUAAUGUUUAUUUUAGUAAUUUCAUGUAUUAAAAUGAUAUUCGAAUCCAUAGCAAUAAGUCCCAGUUAGCUUGGGUUUUAUUAAGUUUUACAAUGAACAUUUUCAAAAUUAGGAACAGGAAAAUUAAUAUUCCAACAACCAAUAUAGUAGAGUCCAUGGUUAGCAUUAAGAUGGUAACACAGGCAAAUGAUACAUGCUUACCCUUCGUUCCAGAUCUCCUCUGUUUAUUUUUUCCCCCAAUUUUUUUGUUUGUUUUGGGGUUAAUUAUAUGUAUUUGUUUUGUGCUGGACUAGGAAUGUAAGCUGUAUGAUGCUAUGAACUUUAGUUUGAUUAUAAUAAAUAAAGGUAUCGUUGAAUUUCAUAAAUUAAGUUGGUGGGAAGUAAUAAGCAUAAAUCAUGUGAGAUUGAUGGCGGUGCUAGAGAAGUUGGUGGUGAUCAAAGCAUUAAAGGAAGAAUAAAAUGGCAAUGUCGUGAUGAGUUCAUAAGACAUUUGUAAGCUUAGUUAAAGGUUCAUUAAAAUUUAUAGAGAUACAUAAUUUCGCAAUCAUAUGAUGAUAUUGCAGCGGUGAAGUCGUGCAUGAGGUUAAGGCAAGUGAUGGAAUGACUUGCGUUACAAAAGAGGUAUGUGAAGUUGCACUAUAAAAAUAAAAUGAAUUUGUAUUUUCAAGUAGUGAACGUGUAGUUAGUUUAUUUGCCAUGAUUGUGUACUGGACGGAAUUGAAUCCAUGUUUAAGAAUUUACCACUCGAAAGAAAAUGUCAAUACAAAGUCAAUGCGAAUGAAUAGUGAAGUCAGCAGUCGCAAAGGCAAAGUUCUUAACCAUAUGUACUCCAGAUAGAUUAGCGGUGGCAGUUUCACAGCUGACAGAUGAACAAAGAGUGGCUGCUUGUCAAAUGGGCUUUGGUAGUUAAUUGAGAUGAUUGAUACUGUGAGGUGCAUUUUAGAGUUGAAUGGUAUUAGCUUUCGAACAAGAUCAUCAAAGAAACUUCACCAACCAGGAAAUUUAGACUUAAUCUAUGCUCCGCAAAUUCAAAUAUUCUCUAAUAUGAAACUUCUUUUAUGUGCUUGUAGUAUCUCGACGAAUUAAAACUUGCUAUCAAAGUUCUUCCCCCCUUCUUCUUUCAUUUAUACUUGCUGCACCAUUUACUUCACACUCUGUAAAGCCAGAUGAAAGCUUGUUCAUUUAUGUUCACUUGCCAUUCAAAUGCAGUGUUUAUUUCAACUGUCAAAUUGACUACUUGCACGUAUUGAUUUCAGUCGAAACAAGGUUAUUGGUCGAUCAAGAAAUUGAAUCCAUAUGGCCGUUCCAGCGUUAUUCAACCACCUAAUUUCAAAUAUAUGAAUUAGUUCAACCCACUUCAGUGAUCAAAGGCGUGGAACAAAUCAUGAAAGAUUUUUCAGCUAUCAUAAAUUCGAACGGAUGUAGUUUGUAUCCUUUCAGGCUUAGACAGAUUUUCCUUCCAUUAACCUUACAGUGUUGUAAUUAAAAAAAAAAAAAAACUUACAGUGUUAGUAAUCUUAUUACUUGUUUUACAGCUACAAUAGUAUGCCGAAAUUUUUGGCUUUUGAUACAUAAACUUGUAUGUAAUGUACAUUUUAUUGUUCCUUACAACUUAAUUGCUGCUAAAAUAGUUGUUUCAACUAAUAUAUUUAUUGUUAUAAUAGAUAAACAUUUUCUUGCAACUCAAACAGUUCUGAUGGCAUGAUUUGCCAUCAAACGGCAACUUCGUUACAGACAAAAAGAGGGGUACAGUGCCCGGCGCACCGUAGGCGCAGCCUAAAAAGAUGAUUUAGUCUCUCCAAAUCUUAGCACUUUAACCAAAAAUAUAAUAAUAAUUCUUUACAUCAUCAUUCAUUGCACUUGUAAAUCUGAGGGAUUAGAAUUCUGUACUGAAUUUAUUUUUUAUUAAAUAAAAAAUUAAUGUUAAAAUUUAUUUUAUUUUAUUUUUUAUCUAACUAUCAUUGACUUAAUAUUUUGGAUCUUUAUCCAAAGUCAAGGCACAAAAUUUUUAUUCUAAAUAAAUAUUCUCAAUAUAAAUUUAUCACUUAAAUAAUAAAUGAUACGAUUUAAUAUUAAUUCUGUCGUCAUUACUAAAAUGAAUCACAAAUUUUACAUGACGUGUAAACGUAUCAUUAUGUUCUCGAUAUUUGACAUAUGAAUUAUAAAGCAACAAAUCUAUCAUAUUUUUAUUUCGGUAUUGUGCUUCUCUAAAUAUAACCCUCUCCAAAGCAGCAUAAUUCUUUUCAUUGUACCCAUUGCUUCACUUCCUCUUUUCGUCAACGACAAUGGGUAACUUAAUCUCAACCUUCUUACCAGCAGACUUAUUUGAUCGAACUUCAAACUGCGUUGGUGAACAAGCAAAAUAUGUAUGGGGCCUCGAAAAAAAUCUUCGGGUCUUGGAGACUGAAUUGCACAAAUUGACUCGAG
rnacentral:lncRNA from 1 species